CCCUACCUCUCUACAGCCUACACGCUCCCACUUUACAACCCUGCUAUGCUAUCUAGCCUCCUCUGAUCUACGAAUGUUUGUAUCUCUCCGGGCGGGUGCGUAAGCUAAGCAGAAAGAACAGCGCCUUUCUGAAGCCGGCCGCCGGUGUUUUCCCAGAGUCAGAAAACUGAGGCAUCGUCACCCGGCCGUAUCUCUCCAACAGCUACAAAGAGAUUGCGCCGAGCACUGGUUGUCAAAAAGUGGCUGUGUAGACCGCCGUGUACAAGCAGCACGAAGCACGGUUAGGUGCCGGCCGUCGAUUGUACGCCGUCGGAAUAUAAAGCGAAUUGUUCGCAUGCAUGCAUUUCCCCAUCAGUCAAUUCAAGCUUGCUAAGCUAGGCUGAAACUGGUUGGGGUGGAGACCGGUGCAUUGGUAGUGCAAACAUGCAGUCCGUGCAGGCGAUCUAGCAAGCGAACAAAGCUCUGAUGAGCCGAGUGCUCCUGCGUGCAAGCGUCCAUGGAUGGUGGUGACCACACCGCAUUUGAUGCCUCUUGGGGGGAUGCUUGUUGGCGUUGGAUUUUAGCAUUUGACUCCGACGUGGCAGCUACGGCCCACAGGUACUUAGAUGAUGAAUUGGCAUCCGUCAGUGCUGUACUUGUAGCCUACUAGUAGUACUCCAACGACUAGAGAAAUAGAUUAAUGGUGCUUUGGCCCCAAGUGGAAGCUGUUGAAAGUUGGAUGGAAACUCAGAACGAGACUAACAAAGUUUCAUCCUUUUCCGUUUCAACUACAUGUGCGCCGUGUAUGCAAUCUUGUUUGUGGCCCUCAAAAAACAUGGGGGGCUUAUGGGGACGGUCGCUCUGCAUGCAUGCGGCCAUGCUCAUGCGUGGGAGGAGCUCAGUAAACCCGUGUUCGUCGUCGCGGAUUACGGCCCUUGACCCCCAUCCUAUAUAUAGGGGCUAGGCGGGGCUCUGCCGCUCUGAGCAAUCAUGUACGCGCAGUGACGACGACGACGCCAACGGGAACCCCAAAAUUAGCAGGCUCAUCUGAUGGCGUAACCCGCACCCUGAAGCGGUGAAGCCCCGCCCCGUUGACACACGUAGGACUUCCACCGGUACCAUGCCGGCCUGUACGUGCGCGCGUUAAGGCUCCCCGUCCGGUGGUGGUGCUGUGUCACUAGCUCCCAUCCACCCUGCACGUCACCGCGCUUGGACGAACGCGCGCGGCACAGCAGUUGACCUUGCCAAAGACCACCGAUCGUGUGUGUUUAGCCUCUUGGCUUCUUCCUAAGCAGUAAGCACUGACGACGCCGGCGUAGCCAUGCAGAGCAAGCCAAGCAGCAGGGCCUGCCGCCGCUGCAUGGUGGAGACCGGAAUCGCUACGGGCACCCAAACGUUCACUCCUCACGGGCCGAAUAAAGCGCCCCGCAUCGGUCCGAUCGAGAUCAGACGAUCUGGAAAGCAUGCAAUUAUCCGGUUAUCCCAGAUGGAUAAGGGCACUGCAUGCCUGUGGAUGUAGCAAUAAUUAAUUGCUCCAGCAACCAGCAGCAUCCUGCUUGGUGGAAGGGUGUGCGUAGGAUGGCGGACGGGUGGCCGCAUCCGGGCAAGGCCAGGCCAGGGUGGUCCGGUGCUCCGGGCCGGGCCGGUGCGGUCGGUUGCGUCGCGCGCCGACCGGGCGGGCGGGCAACGAAGGCCACCACGGCCUUUAAAUGCCUCGCCAUCUCCCCCCCCGCUCCAGACACAAACCCACCUCGCUCGCCUCACUCCCCGCGCUCCCAGCGCACCUCGCUCCCCUCCCCUCCCCCCACCCUUUCCAUUCUCGUCACCCCCUCCGCCCGGGACUCCAGCGCCUUCCAAAGCUCUGCUUCCCCUUUGGUCCCUGCCUCGAUCCCGAUUCGAAUUCGACCUCCCGGCCGGCGACCCAUAUAAGGAUCUUCUGGUGACCUCGGCGGCGGCGGCGGCGUAGCACGUACGCCAUGGCUCGAGGCGACGGCGAGCUCGAGCUCACGGUGGGCGUCCGCGGCGCCGGCGGGCGCGGCGGCGCGGCGCCGGCGGCGGACGCGCCCGCGUCGAUCAGCCUCGGCAGGCUCAUCCUCGCCGGCAUGGUCGCCGGCGGCGUGCAGUACGGCUGGGCGCUGCAGCUCUCCCUCCUCACGCCCUACGUGCAGGUAUACAUCGACGCACGCUCUAGCUUCCUUCUUCCUUCCCCCGUCGACGAGCCCCCCUCCCGGCCGUUUGCUCUUCGCGAUCCUCUCGAACGUGCGUGGCGGCCCAACGUGCACGGUGCGCGUGCGUGCGUGCGUGCGUGCAUGCUACGAGAUUAUUGUAAAAUAUAUGUUCCCGUGCGCCGCGCACGUACACGUACGAUCGUCGCCGCCUCCAACGGCUGUGAUCGAGCAUCCGGACGCGCACGCGCAGGCUAGAAAGGUUCCCCCCCCCCCCUUACAAAAUGCGUAUACAAUAAUCGAGUAGUAUAUAUAUCUUAAAUGUUUUUGAAACGGUAGCUUUGACCAAAAUUCCAUUUUGUCUUUACCUCGUCAGGCUUACGAGUGAAAGUAGUUGCACUGAUGGUCAGUAUCUGAUGCGCAUGUGGCCGAGACUUGCUGUUGAUAGCUACACUUUGUUUUCUACUAGACGGUGGUCUCAUCUAGAUUGGAGCGCGUAGCCAUCGCCAGACAUGGACGAUGGACCCUUCCCGAUCGAUCGCUCCAUCGAUCAUGCAUCUCCUUGGGUUGGGUCGUAUUAAUUGCCCACUUUUCCUCUGCCCCAGCAACUACUCCUACUUAGAGCCUGAACCUCGGUCGAGCUCAUCUCUGACGAUGCGCACAAGUCAAACCUUUCAAAAAACAUUUGUUUCAUCUUUGUUUUAUACAGUGGAUGAACUUGAGUGACGUAGCAGCAUGGAGUAUGUUGUCCUGAGUCACCACUUCAUCUGACACCUCGUGUGUGCCAGGGUUACACCAUGGCACGUCCUAUGGCUCAAACUCAAAGUGGUAGGCUUUCCCAAAAACCGGGAGGCGGACGGUGGCCGCGUGCAGUGGUCGGCCGGCGUACCUGCAGCCUCUCGCCCAAUGAUUUGUCUACCAGAAGUUUGCAAACUCUGGUGGAUGGGGAAACCUCAAACCAUAACCGACCAUUUGGCCCGCCGUCCAAAGUUCCAAAACAAAGGCCACACGUUAUGUAUGGUCGUCCUAAACAAACCCCGGCCUACCGUAUUUUCAUCGACGCAAAAACAAAAGUUUUUUUAAGUGAUUGCCAAAUUUGUAAUGUUCCGGGCUAAUUUUCUAGGUAGAGAAAUAAAAUAGUCCAAAAGGCCACGUAUAAUUUUUUCCACUUCACCCACCUUUCAUUUUUUUGCCACCUGAACAAUCAGAUAUGGAAACAAUUAAGCAUGAUAUUCUUUCAAACAUAUAAAUAGAUAGUAAUAAAAUUGAAAAUAUAUAAACUAGUGCGGCCCCCUUUAUAUCAAAAGAUUCUUUUUUAAAAAAAAAGGAAUUUAGGAAAGAAUUGGUGGAGGAUUUUCUUUAUGAUUUGAUUCCUAUAUGAUUUUUUUUUCCUACGUGCCCCUUUGAAACAUAUUGUUGGACAUCCUAGAAAUAGAAUCCCAUAUAAUUCGUAUCAACCAAUAAAAAAUUUAGAGGAAAUCUAAUAUGAGGCCCAGCCAUAUCUGUAUUUUUCAUGCUGUAUCCAAACGUUCCAUUGCAUCAUACGGAUUCCCUGUCAAAUUGCAAUUGAAAGCCAACUCGGAUUCUACGUUUUGAGGAGAAUCUUACGUCAUAAAGGAGUCCUCUCUGCGCACACGGACACGGCACCAUGCCUUGUACCGGUGCCUGCCCAUGCCGACCAAAACCAGCAUGUGUUUUAGAACCUUCACCCAUUGUCCAUUAAAAAAGAACUGUUCACGGCUGUUCGUCCAAAAAAAAAGUGUUCAUUAUUGAUGGAAUGGAAUAUUUUAGUAUAGCCAUGCCUAUUCGGCGGGCAACUUUGGAUAAAGUUUAUGCUCGCUGCGGGUAGGCCGUAGCCUUGUUGAGCCAAGUGCCAUCGAGGCGAUUGGUGCGUGUGCAGGCGAAUCUGUCAGGUUUGAUCUGGCACGUUGCCUAACCGCACCGUGCGACCUGGAUGGUCGGAUUAAAAGAGGAACCUUCUUUGGGCCAGAUAUAUUCCCUUUUUGCCUGUGUCUGUAAAAGAAAAAAAAAAGACAUGUCCUGCCCGAUGUAUCUCGACGUGCACAGAUUAAACCAACUAAGAAAAUUAUCUAAUGAUAUAAUGUUCUUCUCUAUUAAUGAAAUUGUCACUGUCUCAUUUCGGUUCGUUGCAAGUACUUUUCUCCAUUAAUGGUAAUGUGUCUCGCUAACUUAUCAGAAUCAGUUACAAAGCGUAGUUUUCUUUGCAGUGCAAAAUAAACAUUACUCAUGCACUCUCAAUUGCUCGCUGAUCUCUGAAUUUUGCCUAUAUUUGCGCAGACUCUGGGGCUUUCACAUGCCCUCACUUCAUUCAUGUGGCUAUGUGGCCCUAUUGCUGGUUUAGUGGUGAGUACCAUACUAUUUUUGCACAAAUGUUACUCCCUCCGUUCCAAAGUGCAGGUCGUUUUGCCAAAUCUUGAUACAUAGAUUUUGUUUAUGCAUCUAGAUAAUCAUUGUGUCUAGAUACAUAGCAAAGUUUAUGCAUCUAGAUUUGCCAAAAUGAUCUGCAAUUUAGAACGGAGGGAAUAUUUUUUUCUUACUGCAGUAAAUAUCCAUUGAUCCUUCUUCUACUCCCUUUCAGGUUCAACCGCUCGUCGGUCUGUACAGUGACAGGUGCACCGCGAGAUGGGGAAGACGGAGGCCAUUUAUUCUGACCGGAUGUCUGCUCAUCUGCCUUGCCGUGAGAACCUCACGCGCUCUCUCUAAUCUCUACCGCUAUUUUCUUAGAACUGAACUGGAACGAACUCACCGUUGCUCCUCUCUCAAGGUUCCCUACUAAUAUUUUCAAGCUUAUGAUGUGCAGGUUGUGAUUGUUGGAUUCUCAUCAGACAUCGGAGCUGCUCUGGGCGACACAAAGGAAGAGUGCAGGUUAGCUGCUUCGCUCUGGGGCUACCGCCUCGAACAGAAUUAUCUUUUGCCUGGCAUCAGUCUCAACUGAUCUGAUACUUGAUGAUGUGUAAUGCAGUCUCUACCAUGGUCCCCGUUGGCAUGCUGCAAUCGUCUAUGUUCUGGGGUUCUGGUUACUUGACUUCUCCAACAAUACCGUGCAAGUGAGUACAUUUAUAUCAGCAGUUCAGAGUUUCAGACGGAUCAGUUUCAAAUGCACUAUAAAUCUAUAAUAAAAUCUGACAUUUUGCAUUCAACUGCCAGGGUCCAGCUCGUGCCCUAAUGGCUGAUUUGUCAGGUAACUUCACGGCUAACUCACUUCAGGUUUUACCAACAAUUGUUGGUUAGAGCAAAAGACUAGUACUACUGUACUAGUAGCUGUUGUGACAUCAGUGGAAUUCGCAACCUGAUCUGCAACUCUUUCGUUUUCCGCUCGACAGGUCGUCAUGGCCCUAGUGCGGCUAAUUCAAUCUUCUGUUCUUGGAUGGCGUUGGGAAAUAUCCUAGGGUACUCCUCUGGUUCCACAAAUAAUUGGCACAAGUAAGUCCUGCACUCUUGUAUACAAAUUCUAUCCAGCUCUCUAUCUGAAAAGUAGUUUACUGAAAAUGUGGAUCCUGCAUAACAAGAGCUCUCUAUCAUCAUAUACAGGUGGUUUCCCUUCCUGAAAACAAGAGCCUGUUGUGAAGCCUGUGCAAACCUGAAAGGUGCAUUCCUGGUGGCUGUGGUAAGUUUUAUAAAUAUCUCGCAACAUGUUCACAGGAUAUUUUGUGAAUACAAAUAUAAUCUGGUUAUGUAUCAAUUAACAACCUUUAAGCAUAUAUUCUUCCCAUGUUGAUUUAUGAUUCGCAUAGAUGCUAAAACUUGGAUAUUUUUUCUUUUCGUUCUCUUUCCGCAUAUAUUCCUCCCAUGUUGAUUUAUGAUCUGCAAAGAUGCUAAAUCUUGUUAACCUGUCGGGGCCAGUUCAAAAUAAAUAAGUAAAAUAAAACAGAUGCUAAAUCUUGGAUGUUUCUUUUUCUUUUUGUUUGUGUUCAGGUGUUCCUGAUCUUCUGCUUGACAAUAACCCUGAUCUUCGCCAAGGAAGUACCAUACAAAGGAAAUCAAAACCUUCCAACAAAAGCGAACGGUGAGGUUGAAGCUGAACCUACCGGUCCACUUGCCGUGUUCAAGGGCUUCAAGAACUUGCCCCCUGGGAUGCCGUCCGUGCUCCUUGUAACUGGCCUCACUUGGGUACGCCACACAGAUCCAUCUAGCUUGUUCACUGAUUUCAGGGUGUUUCAGUCUCUGACUGGAUUCUGUACUGACUCCGGCACUGUGCUUGCAGCUCUCGUGGUUCCCGUUCAUCCUCUACGACACCGACUGGAUGGGCCGUGAGAUCUACCACGGCGACCCAAAGGGUACCAACGCUCAGAUCGCAGCGUUCGACGAAGGUGUCAGAGUUGGCUCGUUCGGGUUGCUGCUCAACUCGGUAAGAUUCGUUCCAUGCAUUUGCAGAAGCCGCAAACUCUCCGUCCCAAUUAAUUGCUGACCAGGAGCUUCAUCACCCCACCGCGUGCAGAUCGUUCUAGGGUUCAGCUCCUUCCUGAUCGAGCCGAUGUGCCGGAAGGUCGGCCCGAGGCUGGUGUGGGUGACGAGCAACUUCAUGGUCUGCAUCGCCAUGGCCGCGACCGCGCUCAUCAGCUACUGGUCGCUCAAGGACUACCACGGAUACGUGCAGGACGCCAUCACCGCGAGCACGAGCAUCAAGGCCGUGUGCCUGGUCCUGUUCGCGUUCCUCGGUGUCCCCCUCGCUGUAAGCAUAUCUUCACCGAACGCCACGGCAUGUACCAACAAGGAUUUGCUGCUGACACGGCCGUGACCUUCGCGUGAACCGUGCAGAUCCUGUACAGCGUCCCCUUCGCGGUGACGGCGCAGCUGGCGGCCAGCAAAGGCGGCGGUCAAGGGCUCUGCACCGGCGUCCUGAACAUCUCCAUUGUCAUCCCUCAGGUCAGCAGCGCUGUUCUGCGGCCUCUAAAUUUCAAUUCAUGGCAGGGUCUGUCUGCCUGUGUCUGUCCUUGAUCGCGGUGUGCUCACGGCCGCAACUGCUUUGGUCUGCAGGUGAUCAUCGCUCUUGGCGCUGGCCCGUGGGACGCGCUGUUCGGUAAGGGGAACAUCCCGGCGUUCGGCGUGGCGUCCGGCUUCGCGCUCAUCGGCGGCAUCGUGGGCCUGUUCAUUCUGCCCAGGAUCUCGAAGCGCCAGUUCCGGGCCGUCAGCGGGGGCGGCCACUGAGCCCGGCCCCGCCUGGCCGCCGCCGGCCGGAUCAGGCCGGCGUGCAAGAAGAGUUUGUAUGUUGAACAGAAUAAGAACGGGAAAACCAUCGUGCAGUGUGUGCUUGUUGUGUCCGGUAGAUAGGCAGGCGUGGGCAAGUGGAGAAAGGUAACGUGAGCAUCCAGCACCAGCUGGUAGCAAGGUCUGGUCUCUGCUAGCUAGCUAGUGUAAGGAGCGAGUAGGUCAGUUAAAAGCUGGUGCGUCGUGAGGGCUCGGUCGACCGGCAGCGGUCGCGCUUGCUCCUGUUGCCGAUCAUGCAUGUGUGUAGCUCAGCGGACUGAUCAGGGGAAAAAAAGGGAUUCGAUCGACCAAAAUGUGCAGCAUGAACUGUGUGUUUGCGUGAUCAGAAUUCAGAAACUACUACUAGUGCUCUAGAGUAGUAGAGGCCGCAGUACUAGAUGAUGUUCAUGAUUGGUCUAGAGCUAGAGGCCUACUCCAGCAUCUACUAUGUAUUGUCCGCCGUUUAAGAUUUUUGGUCGGAGCAAUGGAAGCGCCUUGUUUUGCUCCAAUUGUCCCGUUCUUGCGGCUCGCUUUUGUUGCGUACUAGUAUAUAAAAACGCGCCGCGACGGCGCCGGCUUUGAAUCGCAACCAACUGCUCCAACCAGGCAACGGCUACCGCGCCCGUGUCGUGCAGCGAGCAAAAGGAGCGACGCGUAGACGAAGCAGUCCACGGCCACUCAGGCCGGCGGAAGAUCCAGCUCGUUAUCGAGCAAGAGAGAGUUCAGUUCCUCAGGAAACGCCACUGAUGAAGCAUUGGCACAUGUUAACGUGCCGGCCAAAAGUCCAAACAGAGACGCCACGGUCAUCGCGGACCGUCGAUCACGCACGCAAGAAUACAAGAUCAUUCACAAACCACAAGGGGGCUUAGCGUGCACCACAUCCAAGUGGCGCGCGCGAAGGGAAAAAGAAUUGUGCCCGUCACGUCGAGUGUCCAAAACCGCAAACGCCUCAGCAGCAGCACGCGGGGCACCUGACGAUGCCGUUCUCGUUGCAGUCCGGGCACCGCCGGAACCCGGCGCCGCCGCCGCCGCCGCCGCCGUCCUCGUCCGACGCGUCUUCUUCAUCGUCGUGCCCGUCUUCGUCGUACACGUACACCUUGCAGCUGCCCGAGCACGUCUCGCAGAGCACGAACCGCACGUCGCCGCAGGUCUCGCACGCGCCGGCGUCGCCCGCGGCCGCCGCGCUCUCGCACCCGGCCAGCCUCGCCGCGAGCUCCCCGGCCUCGUGCAGCCGCUUCAGCUCCUCGGCGUUGCCCACGAGCUCCCCGUCCACGAACAGGCUGGGGAGGGCGGGCGCGGCCGGCGCCCAGCACUUGGCGAGCGCGCCUCCGCCCGUGACGCCGAGGAGGCCGUUGAGCUCGUCCCGGAAGCCGCGGUGCAUGGACACGUCGCGCUCGUCGAGGCGCACGCCGUAGCCCUUGAGGAUGGCGCGCGCGAGGCAGCAGUCCUCGUACGUGGCGCGCACGCCGCGCAGCGACGUGAAGUAGAGCACCGCCCGGCGCGGGGGCGUCUUCUCCUUGCUCGCCUUCCCUUCGCCGCCGUCCGUCGCGACGGCGGCGUGAGGCUGGGGCAGCGGCAGCGGCGUGACCUUGGCGAACGCGGUGAGAUCCUGCGGCGCCGUGGCGACCGGGAACGAGAAGGAGUGGCGCCCGAACGGUGCAGUGAGCAGCGGCGAGUGGUCCUCCAGGCCCGCCAUGAGCGCCCACGCGUCGAUGUCCUCGGGCUCGUUGGGCGGCGUCAUGGUGGGCGUGCGCGGCGCCAGCCUCGUCGGCGCGCGCGCCACGGCGGGCUCCGGCGCCCGCGGCAGGGCCUUCUCGAGCUCGAGGGAGCCCAGCGUGGACGACGUGAGCCGGACCACGUGGACGCCGGCGUCGCUGGGGCACCGGGCGGGGAACGACUGGCUCCGCGGCAGCGCCAGCGGCGACGGGCAGUACCGGAGGUCGUGCCGGGCUUGCCUGGAGGUGGUGCACCCCAUGGCGCCUGUGAACAAGGCCAGCGGCAGCGGCUAACUGGCAAUGCGAGGGAGCUAGUAAUUUGGAUUGGGAUACCAGGGUGCCAGUGUGAUCACUGAUCAAUCAGCCAGGAGCACAAUGUUGUGAGGUUCCAAGCAGUGGAUGGAUGAGCUGGAGGACUGAUCUUUUGGGAUCGCGGUUUCUGGGGUUUAGGAUCCUUUAUAUAUUUGGCUUUGGCCAUUGGGGAUAUAAAACUACUGCCAGGAUUAAGACUUGACAAGUGCUGAGAUUUACUAGCAGUGUAUGAAUAAAGUUUGCCCAAUGCAGUGAUUGACACAAAAAGAAUAGGCAAUAACAGUUCUAAAACAUUCUUUUUCCCCCCUCCUGAAGAGAAUGGUUUUGGAACAUUCACACUUGGGAGUCUGAACUUUUGGAGGGAAGUUCAAAUGGUGGUCUUUCAUGUUUUUAAAUUAAAAGGAGUCGGAGAAUGGCCCUCAUUUGUUUGUUUAUGGCCAUAGCAGCAGCAGCUAGUGAAUUAACCUUUGGUUUAGGGCCGUGUUAGUCAAACAAUCAUUGAUUUCUUCCUUUCGCGCUGCUUUUUCUGUACGCAUCUUCUCUGCCCCUGAUUCGAGGACCCUGUUCACAGGGGCUCUGGCUUUGGAGCUUCUCUUUUGUAGCACUUGCACGAAGUUACAUAUACGCGUGCAGCUUUGGGUGCAAGGAAAAAAAUGCAGCAUGAUUAUUUUUUUAUAAUAUGGAAAUGCAGCAUAACUUGGGGAAGUAGUCAAGUAGCCAGUACAUGCGAAUUGCCAAAUAGAAGAACUUUUUUUAAAAAAAUCUUUUCCUGAUAAAAAGAAGAAUGAGAUCUGUGGUAUUAUGUUGAAGAAACUGCAUCGUUUUUUUUAAGGGAAGAAACAACAUCGGUUACUCACACCUCUGAUGUCUGGGAAUGAGAUCCGCAAGAGAAGAAGAGAAGGGAACUAUGAUGUGCACGGCCAGUUUGACAAUGAUUAUUGGGUUGGGCCGUAUACACACGAAGGUAAUCACAAACUUCUGGUCCAGCCCAAGUUCAUUGGAGUCUGGCUAGGACCGUUAACUCGCUGCCGCUACCUACCCUAACUCGCCGCCGUCAAUUCCUCAUCUCUUCGAUCUUUCCAGAUUCAGCUAUUGAUAGUUUGGCAAGAACCUCGUGUGCUGAUUAGACGGGUCAUCAUCGGUUUUCUGAACCUCGUGUUGAGCGUAGCCAUGGUCCCUACUCAUUAGACCAGUCUUAAUAGGAAUUUUAUGGAUAGUUUUAUAAUAUUAAAUUCUAAUAUAUUAUAUUAUUAAUUUUGCUGAUAUAAUGAGGAGAGAGGAUGAGAAAGUUUAUAGGAUGUGAAAUAAGUUUUAUCAUCAUAAAAUUUAUCUAACAUAGUUAUCUAAUUUCUAGUAAUAUGAAAGUGUGCACUGACAUCAAACCACUUGAUAUAUCGCCGCUGUUCUACGGAUCGGCGGCAGCGGCAGAGGCAGCGAAGAAGAGGAUCGGCGGCAAACAAGUCGGCGACACGGGGCGAUAGGGCGACGCUCCCAAGGGUACAUGCACGUGGCGGUCUCCGUCCCCCGCACCAAAGCCCACGCCGCCUGCUGCUCCGACUCGGACGCCGGCGAGGAGCCGUGCAUUUUCCAGCGAGUCGACAGCGACCGCUGUGAAACCCUCGACGUCAUGGACAUUGCGCUCAAGAGUCGCUUCCCCUUGGAGGUGCUCUCCUCGUCCUCCUCCGGGUGCUGGCCCCUCCCGCCGCCCGCUGCUCCUUUCCUCCGCGACCCCGGGGACGUUCGUUCCCUGGGCCGACUGUCCAUGGCGGUCGACGGCGCCACGACCUACUGGCACCCCCCACCAGCAGGAGAGCACCGCCGGCACGUACUGCUUCGACACCGUGACCCGUGAAUGGGACAAGGCUGGGGAAUGGGUGCUCAAAUUCGGUCCCUUUUCCUUUUGGAAGUAGGGAAUUCGGUCGGUUUCCCGAAUUGGAAUUCCCGGGCCAGCCCAACAAUCUAGAUCGAUGGAUGGGCCUGAGGCCCAAGUGAAACCAAAGCACUGAAUCGACGACGACGACGACACAAAACGUAAGUGAAAGCUGGUCGUCGUUGCUGAAAAUAAUCUAGCUGCCUAUCGACGAUCCAUCGCUAGUGAACGGCGGUGGAGACGAACGAUUUCGAGUCGAGGAGUAAACAACAGAAACAUGUUGCCUGCCGGCAGCACGAAACCAAGGAAACUACUGUCGACUGAGAACCUGCAACGGACUCUUCUGCUGCGAGCUACACUGCACCAGGUAGCUAGCGUGGUCAGCAAUCCGACGCGGCAACGUACUCCUCCAACGGUGACGCGACGCGGAUAAGGUUUUUUUGUUUAUCAACCCUGCCGGGACGGGGCAUUCCACUCCGAUCCGUUCCGCCAUUUGUCACCUACUACUGCGAUGUCGUUGCUCAACGCUAGCUCUUCUUCUGUCGCAGGUACUACUAGCUAGCUAGUGGGCUAGCAGUAGCGUGGUCGAGUUGAGGAUGGAAUCGCCGUCGGCGCGCAAGUGGAUGGCCUGGCAUGGAAAAAUACGCGCUGGGGGAGGAGGACGAGGGCGAACAUGCGCGCAGGGAGGAUGUGGCUGGCACGUGAGGGUUGGGGCGCGCGAGAAGGUUCCAAACGGCCCGGUGCGGCUGUACACACCCACUACCAUGCAAGAAACACAAAACAAAUAAAGGGCCUCGCUAGCUGCCCCCAGCACCCAACAACUAGUGUGAUGUAUCUAUGGUUAUACACAUACUAUAUCCCUACCAUAAGUAACACUCACCGUAUGUUUGGUUUCGUACACGUGAAUGAUUUGUCGAAAUCUGAACGCACCAUGUCUAUCUAGCAGUGAUGUACCGUCAACACUACCGUUUCCCUGUACGCCGGGUAAUUAUUUUGACGGCUCACAUGAGGUUCAAGUGUAUUUUUUUGAAAAAAAUCCGUUUUACCUUCCUGAACUUUGGAACGAAUCCGCAUUUCCUCCUCCUUAGACUAUAAAACCGUUCGUCUGGACUCCUCGGACUCGCGAUGCCGGACAUAUAACCUCCCUAGCUGGUUUCUUUCCUUUAUGUUUAUUUUGGUUGACAUAGAAAAUAAACAUAGUCUAACAAGAAAAAUAUAAAAGACAUGAUUUUUUUGAUUUAGUAUGAUUUUUUAAAGAUUCAGCCAAAAUAAAUAUAAAAGAAAAGGAGAAAAAACAAUGAGAGAAACCAGAUAGAAAAGGUCAUAUGUCCGAUAUUGCAAGUCCGAAUUUAGGGAGAUAAAAAUAACAUUUUUUUUUAAAGAGAUACCGGUCCAAGUGUACCGUAGCCGCUCCUAGACGGCGGGAUACUAUGGAGAGGCCGGGGAAGGGGAGGGGAAGGCCCCGGCCGGUGGAGGCAAGGCAUUUGCAUCUGCCGCCGUUCCGCUGGAGCGAGCGAGCGAGCAUGGGUGCCCUCGCGCGCAGGAGGGAGAGAGGAAGCAGGGUCCGUCCAAGGGGAAGCGGGGGGCGGAUGCCGCAUGCGCCGGCCGCUGGGAUCUCUCCUCGCCGGUCGCCGCUGUCCUAACUAACAAGGCCAUGUGCCGCUGUGGCCUCGCGCAAACGCCAGCAGGCCAGGCCAACUAGCGCCAGGGCCACCCGGUUCGCACUAGCAGCAGGCGGGGAGCACCGGGAACGGGGGUGGGCCCGCGCCCAUGAGCCAUGUACGCUGCACGUCUCGCUGUGCGCGGGGCCACCCACCCGCCCCUUGCAUCUCCCGGCCCCUCCUGUUGCUGCAUGCGGCGUGCAUCCACCUAGAUCUCCCCACCGGCUCGGCCCCUCGCCCCCUCCUCUCUCUCGCUCGCUCAUCUCACAUGGCGUUUACUGAUCCAAGCCUCGCAUUGCAAAUUGCACGACCUGUAAAAGCUUACCGUGUAACGUUGCAGCAUGUUCGUGUGCGACGGACCAGUAGGUAGGAGUGGUACCUGCCUGAAGCUUCGUGCCACACGGUCACAGAUCAACGGCUGGAAGGAACCCAUCACACGGUGGCAUGCAUUGACGUAGUACACCACCGGCCGCCGGCCGGCUGGAUCUGAUCUGAUCUGACCACAUGCGCGCGACGCGGUGCGUGGUGUGCAUAGGUCACUCUCCGCCCAAUGCGUGCCGUCCAUCCCUGGCUGUGCCCAAAUUUUUUCGGUUUUUUUUUCUCUAACGUGGGGAGCUAGCUAGCCAACGCAAGACACAAUCUAGGCAGCAGCAUCCAUAUGCCCAGUGGCGAGAGUCCAGAGUGGAUGGGAUCCAUCAUGCAUGCAUAGAUCCACCCGUCACCUGCGCAUACGAAGCUUUCAAAGCAUCCAGAUUGGUAGUAGGGCUCACGCUGCUCGUGAUCAGCUGCGUACCAACUAUAUAUACGUGCGUGUGUGCGGCGUGCCGAACGUGCGUGGGUCGAUUGGUUAGGAUUCACGAUUCUAGCUACUUGGCGACUGAAAUCGACGGCCAGGAUCGGACCAGACUAUCCAGAUCAUCGCGCGGUAGAAUCAGCUAACUAGCAUAGAUCCAAAUCAAACUUAUGAUGUGUUAUGGAUAGGACACUGGAUGGUUGAUCGCACGCACCGAAAAAUUGCACAUGAAUGUAAUGGCGCCCCCCGAUUUUUCUAACAAAUGUGCAUGCAUGCAGCAUCUAGCUAGGAAAAGGCUUCAACUAGGUAGAGGUGAUGCACUUUAAAGUUACCUUGUGUGCAUGCAAGCAUAAUUGCACUGCUGCCGGUGCCGGCUAUGAUGGAGUGAGAUACGCUACUCAUCUGCUCAUCAAGUUGGAAUCAUGUGUACACUGUCAUUGGGUCAUCAUCAAUGUAGCUUUUGGUCCGAUGAAAAAAAUGUGUAAUUAUUAGAUCCUUGGCAAUGUCUACUAGAGCCAUUUUGUGCAAUAUGUUGAGACACUUUUUGUAUUUUCCCUAUAUCGUCAACCAUCUCUCCUCAUUCUACGGUCCCUCGAUAUCUUGGUGGUGUGAUAAAUAACUAAGAGAAAAAUGCACCGCCGGUCCACGAACAUGUCCAUGAACAUGGUUCUUUCAAAAUGCACAUUCAAAUCAUAAACUUGCUAAUCAUACCAUGUUAGGUCCAAAUCACAGUUGUUUAAGCUAAAUCAAAAAUUGUAUAAUUUUAUAAUAAAAAAUUAUAUAUGCAUACCAAUUGUAUAAAUAUAUUCAUACCAAUUGUAUAAAUAUAUUUAAAUAAUUCAUACCAAAAUAAUUCAUACCAAUUGUAUAAAUAUAUUCAAAUACAAAAGAUCUGUAUCAAAAAAUUGUAAACCAAGAAACUCAUAUGAUGAAAUUUGUAAAAAAAGUUUAGAAAAUAUAAGAGCUGGGGAGCAAAUUUUGGAGGAAAUAUUGGAAAAGAAAAUAUUUGGCAUAAAGUUUUGAAAUAAAAUUUUGGAAAAAUUAGAAAAUAUAAGAGCCGAGGAGAAAAUUUCAAGAAUAAAUUUAGACCCACAUGUAAGCUCCACAUAAGUUGAACACUUCCAAUUUAUAACUUAAAAAUGAUGAUUUGGAUUUCACGUGAUACGAUUAGCAAGUUUGAGGAUCUAAAUGUGCAUUUUGAAAGUUUGUGGACCGGGAUGACAUCCUGAACCAAGUUUGAGGACCAGCAAUGCAUUCUACUCAAUAACCAACACAUGUCUCUAGUCAUUUUUUCCUAUAAUACACUGUCAUUGUAUGGGUAGAAGAUCAAUAUAAAAAAAUGAAAAGGACAUCACAAAGAUAAAAAGGUGUAUCAACAAAUUUAGAUUCUACUUAAAAAAAGAAAAGGAACAGUAGAAGCUAGGACCUAUUCAUUUUGAGGGUUAGCCUUUAGGAAGUUAGUCCUUUAUUUUUCCCUUUGUGCCAGCUCAUGCAUUUCACUUAAGCAUUGCCACACUAGUAUUUUUUUAGAAAAUUAAUUUGAAAACACUAGGCCAUACUUUUCCAGAAUAUAUAAAGAGCACUAGGACAUAUUAUAUAUAUGCUAUAACCUUUUGUGUAUACCAAUCUUGUACCUUUUUUGCAUCAUAAAUACAUGUCAUCUUAAGGAAACCCUAGAAUUUAUUUUGAUUAUCUCGAGAAAAGUUUUUUUGGAUUUUUAAUAAUAAGCUCCAUUUCCUUUUCCUUUUAUAACAACCACCACCCUGUUAUAUUUCCAUUUCCUCACCACUCUCUCUCUCUCUCUCUCUCUAUCUCUCUCUCUCUCUCUCUCUCAAAUACUCCCCAUGCUCCUUGCCUUCCUCCUUUGAUGAGGCCAAUGGCCAGCAAUGGCAUGGCGUCCUCCCCCUCGCCCUUCUUCCCUCCAAACUUCCUCCUCCAAAUGCAGCAGACACCUCCCGAUCAUGAUCCCCAAGAACACCACCACCACCACCACCAUGAGCACCAUCUCCCUCCUCCCCUUCACCCUCACCACAACCCCUUCCUCCCCUCCUCCCAAUGCCCCUCCCUCCAAGACUUUCGAGGUACGCAGGCACACAUCGAUCGAUCGGCAUGAAGUUUAUUCCAUGGCAGCCACCCCCUCGCGCAGAUCGAUCACUAGUUAACAGCUGCCUCCGACAGGAAACUGAUCCACACCGCGCGCAUGGAUGCAGGUAUGGCGCCAAUGCUGGGGAAGCGGCCGAUGUACGGCGCGGAGGCCGGAGGCGGCGACGAGGCCAACGGCGGCGGCGGAAACGAGGACGAGCUGUCGGACGACGGUUCGCAGGCUGGGGAGAAGAAGCGGCGGCUGAACGUGGAGCAGGUGCGGACGCUGGAGAAGAACUUCGAGCUCGGGAACAAGCUGGAGCCGGAGCGCAAGCUGCAGCUGGCGCGCGCGCUGGGCUUGCAGCCGCGGCAGGUGGCCAUCUGGUUCCAGAACCGCCGCGCGCGGUGGAAGACGAAGCAGCUGGAGAAGGACUACGACGCGCUGAAGCGCCAGCUCGACGCCGUCAAGGCCGACAACGACGCCCUCCUCUCCCACAACAAGAAGCUCCAGGCUGAGGUACCGCGAUUAUUCAACCACGCCGCGUUCUCUUACUUCUCGCCGCAUCUGACGAUCCUCGCCGGCAGCCCGGAUCUAGCUGCGCGCGCGAGCCUGUGAUCCGCACCACGCUGUUAUGAUCCGGGUUGAUUGGUCGUGGCUUCAAUUCAAUUCCCAGCUCAAUGAUUGGUAGGUGACGCCUAGCUAGCUUAGCAUAGCUCAGCUGGGAUCCAUGUGGGUUUCAGUGCCCGCAGCAGAAAGGUUGUUGGAAGCGGCGCCCAUGGCCGGCGCUGCCUUUUCACCUGCGCGCCUACGUACCGCCUGCCUGCCUUUGUGGAAUCUUGAUGCUGCAGCGGCAGGGCGGCCAGUGAGUGGCUUUUGUCGCGGGAAUUGGAAAGGUCAUCAGCAGAAUAUGCAGCGAGCCUCUGUUUCUUCUUCCUCCUUUCUCUCUCUCUCUCUCUCCACCCUCUCUGCGACACUGCAAGCGAGUCCAUUGAGGAAGAUGCUGUGGCUGGCGCAGUCAAUGGCUUCAUCAUCGCCGGUCCGGCAUCUCUGUGCCUCGUCUCAGCGCGCAUGUGUGCAGUGCAGUGUCCCUUUGCUUUCCAAUCGGAAUUGAAAUUGCCAUGAUGUGGGCACUGUACAUUGCAGAACUUUUGGCACAAUCAGUACUCGUGUGAUUGGGAAUGCAAAUGUACUCAUUAUUUCUAUCAGAUGAUACUCGAUUGGGACCGUGUUGUAGUACCAAGAAUUUCGCGUCAAACUAAUAGUACUAGCAAGAACGUCCUAGGUUUACAGUGAUAGAUUAUCUUCCCUGACGUUUCCGCUCUGAACUUACAUCAACGGACACAUAAUUCUCAUGAUCUCUCAAGGAGUCAAGAUCAAUUGAAUCCAACGCUGUUGUGUGUUUACUGACCGUCUGCUGAUCAGUUCUUGCUCGUGUGGCACUGCAGAUACUGGCGCUGAAGGGCAGGGAGGCAGGGUCGGAGCUGAUCAACCUCAACAAGGAGACGGAGGCGUCCUGCAGCAACCGCAGCGAGAACAGCUCCGAGAUCAACCUCGACAUCUCGCGCACGCCGCCGUCCGAGGGCCCAGACCCUCCGCCUUCGCAUCAUCAGCACCCCGGUGGCGGCGGUGGCGGCAUGAUCCCGUUCUACCCUUCCGUCGGCGGCCGCCCCGCCGGCGUCGACAUGGACCAGCUCCUGCACAGCACGUCGGGGCCCAAGCUGGAGCAGCACGGCAACGGAGGCGUCCAGGCUCCGGAAACCGCCAGCUUCGGCAACCUCCUGUGCGGCGUCGACGAGCCGCCACCGUUCUGGCCGUGGGCUGACCACCAGCACUUCCAUUGAUCCAUCACGGAUGUCACAAUAGCAUUGCAAUGGUGUGAUCUCAGAAAGAUCCGACGAAUUCAUUUGGAUUCUUGGUGACAUGGUGGAAGAGGCACAAAGCUGUGUAUGAUCUGAUCUGAUCGGUUGGCCAGGUAGCUACGAGAUACUGAGAAGGUGAUGCAAUUUGGGUAAUUGGAGUUGAUGAGAAGGGGCCGGGGUUGUAAGGGGAAUAAGUGAGGUGGUGUAAUUUAAUUAGGUAGAUUUUGGUUUGAAUUUUGAUAGUAUCUUUUGCAGCUUCUUUCUUUUUUGGUCUUCGCGUUUUUUUUCCUCUUUUGGUGACACAUAUAAAAAUUUGUGAAUUGUGAGGCACUGUUGUAAUUUGUAUAGGUGAAUGGGGUGUUCUUUUGCAAAUUGUAUGGAUGAAUAGCAGUACAUCCAUCUCUAUCUCUCACUCUCUCUAUCUAGUUGUAUUACUAUUUAUAUUUUAUUUCUGAAAAAUAGAAUGUGUGGCUGGUUUUUUGACAUGUGACCCAUGAUGCAGUGGCAGACAUUGUGUUCAAUGGUUUUCUAUAUAUACUUGUAUAAGGUUAAGAUGUUUUACGAAAAAGGAUAAAGUUCGUUGAGGUUAUUACGCGCGCGCGCGCGCGCAGUGUAGAGUGAAGUAGUGUGCUGCACUUAAGCAUAUUCACAAUGAAUGUCGCAAGUGUCAAAUCUAGCUACCCCCAUCACAUACUGACCCUGAACACCGAUCCAUCUACUACAUUCUUGUGAAAUUUGUGAUCAAAGAAGCAUGAACAGAGAAGCAUGGCAACAGCAGCAUUUGGACAGCUAUCUCUGUUUCCCUGGGCCCCCUUGCUUUUACCCUUUCCACGAGAUCAGAGGUUGCUCACCAACCACUUACGCUUCUGAAAAAAGCCAACUUGUUUUCUUUUUUGACAGAGCUCAAUCAAUCAAUCUUGUGGCAAAUUGGCAACUCGUCCAGUCAGGGACAAACACAAGUGUGUAACAAACUGUGUACUGGUGGCUCUCAAGAUGGCCUCUUGAGGUAAGCACUCAUUGAUGAUUGAUCACAAUGGAGCUUAGCAUUGCAGCUUGCAGCAAGCACCCCGCACUCUUAUAGCAUAAACACCUGAUUAAAUAGUGAAAAGGAAUGUCUAUGUUUUUCAUUUCUACCUGCUGCAGCGGUCUGCAGGCUUGAUCUCAUGAGCCGUACGUUCACGUCAUGCAUUGGCUCAUUGCUGGCAGCUACAGUUUGUCUGAAUUGGACCUCGCUAGAUUGCUUGCCUACGACCGGCGACAAAUCAUUGGGGGGAUGGGAAUUGCAAGGGCGCCAAAUCAUCAACGGUGGUAAAAAGGAAAAAGAAUGCUAGGAUUGGAUACCAUAAAAUUCUCAUCAAAGGAACCAAGGAAAAUUAAGCAUGUGCAGUUUUGGGAGAAAUUGCAAAUUGUCCGCUGCUCUGAACUGUUACUGCAUGAUCUCAAUAGAAAAUUGCAUUUUUUUUUAAAAAAAAUAAACAGUAAAUAGCACUUUCAUCUCCACAGUACAUUUACUGGGACAGGAGUAACAAGAAAAUAUUUUUAAAAAAAAAGCAAAGAGAAACCGCAAAACAGUGAGCAUACAUGGUGUUCCGUGUAGGUCACGUCAUGGGCAGGGUCCACAAGGCGUGGAGCAAUCCCUUUGUGGAGUUGAUCUUGAUCGGCAGCGGCGGGGCCAAGCGCUACAGGCGCAAGAAACCAAAGGACCGUGUCUGGCCCCGUACCUCUCUGCCCAGCGGGGCCCACGGCGGCCGCCCGCUUUUCAGUUUUUUUUUCCCCUCACACAACGUCUCUGGCCGCAAGUACAUCAUCUCUUUCGCCAUCUCCUCUCUUUACAGAUCGACGAUCCAUGGCCGAUCGGGCUAUCCGUGGAGAAAACAGCAGGCAAAACAUUUUACUUUUUGCGAAAGGACACAGGGUUUUUUUUGUCUCGUAUCAUGGUUGAUUAGGGUAGCCUGUGGAACGGCUCUGGUGGGUAAUUUGGUGUCAGAUGAGCAGUAGUAGUGCUGGACAAUGUGCGGCCACGAGCCCGAGCUACAAGCUGCUGACUAGCUGGGGCACACAGUUCAGUACCGGCAUGAACAGCCUGAUCGAUCUGGUCCAGAUGUGAAUCGCGAGAUGCUCGUACACCAGCUGGUACCCGGGUAGGACUUGUAUAUAUACACGGAUGCACGACCGGCCCAUUGAUUCCGACCGGUAUCAUGAACCGGUGAGAAAGUGAGGAGAGAACAUUCCAAUCCGUAUGUGCUUCUAACUGUUCAGUUUCUGAAUCUGGCACACUGACGAACACCAUGGGUUUGCUUAUUUCUUCAGUGCAGGCAGGACAUCCUCCAAUUUCUUCUGCUUUGUAUUCAGAUUAAUGCACCUUCUAGUUCUAGCUAGUAUACGCAAUUUUCUUCCGGCACAUCAGGGAUAAGGAAAAGGAAAGGCCAGAAAGGCCAGUAGCAGUAGGGUCUACGUACGUCUGCCCCAGGUGCGUACGAGAUGCUCCCGAUCGAUCGCCGGGCUGGGCGAGGACGGAGAGGCCGGUCAGUCAGCUGCCGGUGAUGGCAUGUACGCAUGCUGCAUAGUGCGUCCAAACUGUUCCAUCCAUGGGGGGCUCAGUCUCGGUGCCUUUGUUUUGAGAUCGAUCAGCAGCAGGGCCAUGCCUGCCCAGCCGCCCAGGGGCCCUUCCUCCUCCGCUGUCCGCUCCAUGUGACAGCACAGUGCCCGGCUGACCACCAUGUGUCCUCCUCCCCCAUGCCCCAGCUCGAGGGCGAGAUCGACCCCAAUCCAUGGAGAUUUACCGCUCUGCAUCCUCCAUGGAACCUGGCAGCCUGCCCUGCCGAUGAAAACCAACCGGGUGGGUGUGGCCUCGGCAUGUAGCUCCGAGGGCGGGUGGUUGGUGCUGCGAUGGAAACCGCACAUGGUGAUGAACCGGCGGCGGCUGAAAGUCAGCCGGGGCGGCCAUGGCGGAGCCGAGUGAGUUUUUUAGUGGCGCGCCGCAGGGAAUGAGAGGGGAAUAACAGAUUCCGCAGCAGGCAUCGGGGCAUGUCAGCAUGUGUCGCCAACUGCUGCUGCUGCUGCUGCUCGCCCCAACUGACUGACAGACACGCACACCCCAGUAGCAGCAUGGCACGCACACACACGCUAGAAAACUCCGCGUCCGUCAUGUGAUCGAUACAGGUAGGAGGGUGCUGUACCAACGGAUCCUCCGACUCGUUCCCAGCAAUGGCCAAGACGCCGAGCACUUGUGCCUGUCGCCUCGCCUCGCCUCUGCUUCGAGCCUCGGCAACCUGCGCGUGCCUUUCGCGGAGUUUUCCGUGGCAUCGCGUCGGCCUGCUGGGCUGCUGGCUGCCGGACGUUACCUAACGGGACGGGCGAGGAGGGAGGACAGGUGUAACGCACAUGGCGUGUAGGCGGAGAUGUCUGCCGCCCCCCGCGGCUGCGCUGCGCGAGGCCGCGUUCCACGCCACGUUUCAACUCUGAAGAGGAAAAGGUUGGCAAUUUCCUGGCGCGAUGCCAUGCCACAUUGCCCCUGCGUUCUCUGGCCGUCCGGGGAAACAAACGUUCCUGCGGAUCUCGUGUGCGGGAAUAUCGCGGUCGUCGUCAGUGCCUGUCGCUGCGUUCAGACUGUUCGUGCUUUUGUCAGGUAAUGAUCUGUGAUGGAGAUUGGAGAAGAGCUGGAGGGUAGGGCUGCAUUUGCAUGUCUUCUUCCUGAGGAGACCUAUCUAGGAUACUACUACUACAUUCAGAGUUUCAGACAUGUACAGGUAGCAGUAAAAAGAAAAGAAAAAACAACGUACAGUGCAAGUCAGCAGCCCAGCACUCUAGUUGGCAUUUGGAAAGAUCAUUAAGGACAGUUGCAUGUGAAUGCUGUAACGUUAGUUGUCUAGGUUCCUAAGCAAUUUGUUAACUGCGAUCAUAAGAAAAAUUCUUCCGUCUUUUCUGAACCUAAGCAGUUUCGGCCCACAAGCAGCUUCAGUUCAUCAGCCCAAGUUUGGAGACCAACAGCGGCGAGCGGGCUCAAAUGGUAAGGCAGAGCAACGAGGCCCAGGAGGCCCAGGGAACUCGUGGGUCUAAAGAGGCCUACGUGCACCAAUCCGAUUCGUCCACGCGGCUUGAACCGCGCGCACGAUAACCACCAGAACGGGGGGAAGCCCCACCGCGCGCGCUUCCCAUCCCUCCAGCUCUCCACCACCAACCAGAGUCCAGCGAUAAUCCACCGGCGCGCCAUGCCGCCGCCGUCCACCGCCGCCGUCUCCUCCAUUCUCCGCCCGACGCUACCGCCGGCGCUCUCCUUCCACACGGCCUCUCUCCCGCCGAUCACGCGCUCAGCUAGCGCCGCUUCUUCCCGACUCGUCCUCGCGCGGGCCGACGCGGCGGGGGCGCGCGGCGAGGGAGCCGAGACGGUGUUCUUCGACGGCGGCGCCCACUACGGCGACCUCGCGGCGAACCUGCUCCUGGGCUUGACCCUGCUAUGGCUGCCGCUGACGCUGGCGGCCGUGUCCCGCGCGUUCAUCCUGCGAUACCGCUUCACCUCCCGGCGGGUCACCGUGGUGUCCGGGCUCUCCGGCGCCGACCGCACCGACUUCCCCUACUCCUCCGUGACGUCCGUGGUGGUCGUGCCGCGGUUCAUCGGCGAGUGGGGCGACAUCAUCAUCACGCUCAGGGACGGCACCAAGGUCGACCUCAGGAGCGUGCCCAGGUUCCGCGAGGUCGCCGACUACUGCCGCUCCAUGGCCGCCGCCGAGGGCUCCCUCGUCAGCCAGUGAGGAAGGGCCGAGGGCGACGAGCGAGGCUGUUCAUAAUCCCUUGGGCUUCAUAGUCUUCUUCUGUACUGCUCUGUUCUGUUUGCGACGCGAGGACAUCAUCUGAAAUUCUGAAAGAUGAGAAAUUAACAGUUGAUGAUAUCUGCAAAUUCAAUACGAAUCGUUUGAUACGGCACAUUCGGGUCAAAGGGCAGCAUUCUUGUCAUGAGCCACAUUUUUUAAGAGAUUUUCUACCCAUCUUCCGGCUGAUUUGUGUGUAAUCGCUGUUGUGUUCUGCACAUUUAUUUGGUUUGAAUUGGUGAGUGAUUCUGGGUUUCACGAGGUUUGCUAUUCUCCAGCGACGAUUUUCCACUAUAACAUUUUCAUAUGAAUGCCUGAUCUAGUAGCAGUUAACACCGGUCACCAUUAUACAACAACAGCAGCAAUAACUUAGCCUUUUGUCCCAAUCAAGUUGGGGUAGGCUAGAGAUGAAACCAACAGAAAACAAGAAUAAGAAACAAAAAAGGUCACAUGACAAAGGAAAAGUUAGGGGAUUAAACAAAAAGUAACAAAGGUCACGGUUCAGGUACGUUAAUUGCUAAUCUCCAAACGCUCCUAUCCAUAGUUAAUUCCAUAGCGAUAUUCCACUCCUUAACCGUCUCGUCCCAAGUUAGUCUAGGUCUACCUCUACCUCUUUUUACAUUAUCGCCCCGCUUUAAAACUUCACUACGCACCGGCGCCUCGGGAGGCCUCCGUUGUACAUGUCCGAACCAUGUUAACCGAUGUUGAAUCAACUUCUCCUCGAUAGGUGCCACCCCGACCCUAUCUCGAAUCUGUUCGUUCCGGACUCUAUCCCUUCUUGUAUGCCCGCAGAACCAACGCAGCAUACGCAUCUCUGUUACACUCAGUUGCUGUACAUGUCACCAUUUUGUAGGCCAACAUUCAGCACCGUAUAGCAUCGCCGGACGAAUCGCCGUCCUACCGAAAUUACCUUUUAGCCUCUGUGGCACCUUCUUGUCACAGGGGACGCCAGAAGCCUGCCGCCACUUCAACCAACCGGCUGAAAUUCUAUACCUAACAUCUUCAUCAAUGUCUCCAUUUUUCUGAAGCAUUGAUCCUAAAUACCGAAAAGUAUCCUUCUUGGCCAUCACUUGACCUUCGAGGCUAACGUCCCCAUCCUCAUGCCUAGUCGGGCUAAAGUCACACAUCAUAUACUCGGUCUUGGUCCUACUCAGUCUGAACCCCCUCGACUCUAAUAUGUGUCUCCAUAGCUCUAAAUUCAUAUUAACCCCUACCCUACUUUCGUCAACUAGCACCACAUCAUCAGCAAAAAGCAUACACUAAGGGAUAUCACCAUGUAUAUCCCUUGUGACCUCAUCCAUCACCAAAGUAAAUAGAUAAGGGUUCAAUGCUGACCCCUGAUGUAGUCCUAUUUUAAUUGGAAAGCCACUGGUAUCGCCAUCACAUGUUCGAACACAAGUCAUCGCAUUCUUAUACAUAUCCUUGAUGAGGGUAAUAUACUUAGUUGGGACUUUAUGUUUUUCUAAGGCCUACCACAUGAUGUCUCUCGGUACUUUGUCAUACGCCUUCUCUAGGUCAAUAAAGACCAUGUGUAAGUCCUUCUUCUCCUCUCUAUAUCUCCCCAUCAACUGUCGUACUAAGAAAAUCGCCUCCAUUCUCAACCUCCCAGGCAUGAACCCAAACUGGUUUUGGGUCACCCUUGUCAAUCUUCUUAGGCGAUGCUCGAUAACCCUCUCCCAAAGCUUCAUCGUAUGGCUCAUCAGCUUAAUCCCCCGGUAGUUAGUACAACUUUGAACAUUUCUCUUGUUCUUGAAAAUCGGUACUAAUAUACUUCUCCUCUAUUCCUCCGGCAUCUUGUUUGACCGGAAAAUUAGGUUAAAAAGCUUAACCAUACUACCGCCCUCUCGCCAAGCAUCUCCACACCUCAAUGGGGAUGCCAUCAGGACCCAUCACUUUACCUCCCCGAUCUCUGCCUCCUGAAUCCUCCUCACAAAGCGUCUGUUGGUAUCAUCAAAUGAGUCGUCCAACUCGAAAGUAGGACUCUUAUUUUUCCCAUUAAAUAACUUGUCGAAGUAUUCUCGCCAUCCGUCCUUGAUCUUCUCAUCCUUCACCAGACGUUGAUCUGUCCCAUCCUUGAUGCAUUUGAUUUGGUUUAUAUCCCUUGUCCUCCUCUCGCGGGUCCUAGCGAUCCUAUAAAUGUUCUUCUCUCCUUCCUUCGUACCUAGCCGUUGAUAAAGGUCAUCAAAAGCCUGACCUUUCGCUACACUUACAGCUCGCUUUGCAGACCUCUUCGCUAAUCUAUAGCUCUCGAUGUUGGUUGCGCUCUUGUCGAGAUGAACGUGUUUGAAACACUUCUUCUUCUCCUUAAUAGCCCUUUGCACCUCGUCAUUCCACCGCCAAGUCUCUUUCACUUCCUGCUUGCCUCCCCUACUCACACGGAACACUUCUGAGACCACCUUCCGAACACAUGUCGCCAUCUUUAGCCACAUAUCAUCUAUAUCUGCUCCUUCUUCCUAAGGCCCCUCGCCUAGUAUCUUCUCCUUAAACGUUUGUGCCUCUUCCCCUCUAAGCUUCCACCACUUCGUUCUCGCAAUCUUGGCACGUUUGUCCCGGUGGGCACGUACCCGAAAACGAAAAUCCGCCACCACAAGCUCGUGUUGGGGGAUAACACACUCCCCAGGUAUCACCUUACAAUCUAAGCAGGCACGUCUAUCUUCUCUCCUAACAAGGAUAAAGUCGAUUUGGCUCGAGUAUUGUCCACUAUGGAAGGUCACUAGAUGGGACUCCCUCUUUCUAGAGAGGGUAUUCGCUAACAGCAGGUUGUAUGCCAACGCAAAAUUCAAAACAUCCUCCCCCCUCGUUCCUAUUACCAUACCCGAAAUCCUCGUGUACUCGCUCGUAUCCUACAUUAGUCGCACCCACAUGGCCAUUGAGAUCUCCUCCUAUGAAGAGCUUCUCACCCUGACCAACCGCACUAGGAUAAUCCGGUCACCUUGCCUGAGGGGCAUAGGCACUGAUCAUAUUCAAAAUCAAAUCUCCAAUGACCAACCGCACUAGGAUAAUCCGGUCACCUUGCCUCCUAACAUCUACAACUCCAUCCUUAAGGCUCUUAUCGGUCAAGAUGCCUACACCAUUCCUACCCGAAAUUGUCCCCGUGUACCAAAGCUUGAAGCCAGAACCCUCCACCUCCUUCGCCUUCUAACCCUUCCAUUUAGUCUCCUGCACGCAUACAAUAUUUACACGCCUCCUAAUUACUACAUCGACUAGUUCUCUUAACUUACAUGUUAGAGACUCUACGUUUCAACUACCUAGACGAAUCCUAGUUGGCUCGGCUAGCUUUCUUACCCUUAGCACCCGUCGAGAGAAAUGCGAAGACCCUUGCUCGUUUUUCACUACACCCGGGUGCAGAUGUAGCGUGCCACAGAGGCUGCGACGAUCCGACCCUUGCUCACUUAUCAUCGUACCCAGAUCACGAUACGACGCGCUCCUGAGAGGAUGACGACCCGGCCCUUGCCCAUUUAACACCACACCCAGAUUCCGAUGUAGCGCGUCGCUAAGAGAGUUACGCCCAACGAAUUUCUUAUGGGUUUCAUUUCCGUUAGAGUGACUGAUUUUUUACGCUGGUUCGUCAAAUCUAACACAAACCUCCAUAUUUUCUCAUCGCGGGCUUGGGAUCGGUCACCAUUAUCUUCAAAUAAAAUCAAAAUUAAUUUUUCUUAAUAGCUUUGCUAGUCUAAAGAACUAUGUGUCUGUAGUUCAUAUGAUUUUCAGUUCAGAUUCAGUUAUUUAUGUUAACUCGUGAUUUUGGCCUGGCUAGCUCAGCUCGCACAUCCAUCAAAAAUAGUAGUACAACUGAACUGAUGUACAUUCUGCAACGAUCGAUUGUAAUUGGGCCUUAUCUUUGAUUUUAUUUAUGGGCUUAUUGUUUGCCUUAUUGUGGCCUUUUAGUUAUUCUUAGGCUUGUGUUGUGUUUGUUAUGUUUGGGUUUCGGCUCUGGGUUUUUGACAGCUUUAGCCUGAUAAUUAUUCAAUGAAAAAAGAAAACACAAUCUCCAUUUUCUUCUGGCAACCCAUGCAGUGCACUAUCUAUGGCGCCCUUUGGCAGUUCCAUUGCGUAGUUUAGCAGAUUGCCGAGCACCGAGCCAGCCAGCACCGCUGGUGUUCGGGAGCGAGGGUUGCCAUCCUGCCAGGUACCAGUCUGCCAUGCUGCUGCAACAGUGGAACAAGAAUAGAUGGUUCUAUCGGUGUUCAUCUCUUUCUCUAAACAUGGUGGUCCAGUCCUAAUGAUGAUGUUAGAGCAGAGCUAAUCAGUAACAUGCCUCACUACUGAGGAUAAGCAUCAGCGAACAGUGGAUGCACACCAAGGAUUCAACACUAAACUAAUUUCAAGUUGCUCCACACAUGGCCGGUGAGGUGAUCCCUGACCGGCAUUCGAUUCUCGCGACAAUUUGCAAAUUUUAAAGGAUCGGCAGCUUUCACUCACUCCUCCGUCCUAAAAAAAAAGACGAUUCCCCUUUCACAAUCCAAAUCUCGUAUGUGUACGUGUGUGGGCGUGUGCCUUUUCUGGCAAAUGGCGAUCCUUCUCCCGCCGAAGGCCAAAGCAAAGCAAGAGAGAUGCCUGGCUGAUAUGAUUGGUGUCAGCGCUGCAGUGGAGUGCUGGGCCGGUAGUAGUGGACCGGUCGACCACCAUGGCCAUUGGCCCUGGCCCGGGCGCCGCUAUCUUUUUUCCUCCUCCGAUUCCUUUGCCUUUUCUCCGUAUCCCCCUCUCGCUCCCUCGCUUUGCUUGCCCUCUGCUGCACCUCUAACAGAAUCAGUGGCUGUUCAGAGUUCAGAGAAAUUGUCAACCGCUUGUUGGUAGUGCGGGGUGUCGAGAGGGUUGAAAUGUUCCCCGUUGCUCUGCGGUUAUGUUUGUUAAUUGCAGCAAAAGCUCCAACGGUGGGUUGUUUACCAUAUCCUGAACUCUUUGGUUAAUCUUUGCUUCUGAUGGUCCUUUUUUGGCUUAGAACAAUCCAGUACACUCCUCACUGUGGAGAGAUAGUGCUCGCUGCCUAACUGGUCCGGCUGUCUCCAAUCUGCAUGCCACUAGCCAACUGCUUGCUGAUGUUACAUUUGCAAGUAGAUUAGAGUAGAAGGAACCAUAGGGAUCUAAUACAGUUUUGCAACAAAAGGCUAGUACGCAGCAAUAUUUCUUUUUUUUAAAAAAAGGCUAUUACGGAGUACUCGUAUUAGUGUUUUUUCUUGCAGUGAAGCAGUGUGCCAGACUGCCAGUGUGUGAGACACAGGAAAGGUCAAACAAGACUCUCAACCGCCAACCACUCAACCAGCGCAUCCUAUAUUCUGCUGCAACCUCUCUAUUCUAUCCUCUUUCUUCUAGAUAGAUCUUCACAGCAAGAUUCUUAUCCUUUCAUAUUCUAUACCUUUUUUUUCCUUACUCGUGCAGGGUAUGCAAAAUUGUUGGCAGGUCAGCCAUUGACUUGCCCCGGCCAUUGAUCUGGGACUCUAAAUUCUGAAUGAAUGAAUGUGGCCGCUGCCUGCAUUCAUUCAUUCAGAUUUUUUUUGAAUAAUUAUUCAUUCAGAUUUUGUACCGGUACAGAUCUGAAUGAAUGAAUGUCGAGAAGGGAGUGGUAUAGCUCGGUGGGAUCAGGACACUGCAGUCUUCUGUACUGUACUAGGAGUAGUAUUCUGCCGCUGUUUGGUUGGACUUGGACUGGACUUGAUUCCUGCUGUUCCCCGUGACUCGACAUGAAACCAAUGCAAGGAUUUGGCAAUCCAAGGACCAUGGACUAUACUAUUUGCAGGCUUUAUUGGAUCUAUCUACUAUGAAACAGAUAAUCUCUUUGUUCUCUUAGCAUCAGAGUUCAAUGCCCUACCGAUAAACAAGUUUUUUUGCUCCAUGUCUAGCUUUCCAUCCUCAUCAGGCACAAACUCUGCACACACGUACUGCUCGGGUUCUUUCACCGUGACAUGCAAUCCUGAUAAGAUCACAUAUGAAAGCACAAGGGACAAGAGAGCAAAAGGAAGCAAAGCAAUCCCCAUCUGUCUGUCGAUCCAUCGUCUCCUUUGCAUGCUCAAAAGCGUGAAGCAAAGGCACAGCGGACAGGACGACAACGCAUCACGUACAAGAGAAAGGCACUUACGGGCGUGAUUGAUUGCCAUGCCCCUGGCUUGAGCGCCUGAAAACGCCAAGCCACACAGGAACCUCUUUUCAUUUUCCCAUAUGCAGUUAGGUGUCGGGAAAGGGAAAGGGCCGCGGGUGGAUGCAUCAUGCAUGUCACUGGAAUCCUUCUCUGCAUGCAGAUGGGUUCGUGAAGGCAGCUAAACGACCUUUUCAGCUGAAGAAAGCCCCUUUCUCCCGUGACAUCUUCAGUCUCAAAGAGGAGCUCUGAAUGAUCACAGUCGUCCAGCGUUCAGUUGGUUUGUCCAAAUUGUAGUAGAUUAUAGAUUGUCUCGGUGGUAUAUAAAUAAGAUUAGAAUCAUAAGAAUGGUAGAAUCAACCUUAAUCAAGAUCUUAAAGACGUAAAUCGAAUCACAGAAUUGCUGCAAACCUUAAUCUAAGAUUGAUCACUUCUGGAUGCCAUGGACUGUUAGCCUGGUAGGUAAGUAGGCAACAGCAACAUCUUGUUGGCCAUGCUGCUGCUUCUCCGGGCACCAUAGGAACGCCCUUGGCCCUUGGUCACAUGCUGAAGCAGGACAGGUGCCGUUAUCAGUGUGCACAUGCGAUGUAUCUGUGGAAAACUGAGGCGGCCGCCGCCGCUGAAAAUAAAUUGAAUGCGAGGUCAACACUGGAGCAAAAAAAUUGAUCGGAUUGAUGUUGUCGUCGUCGUUGUCGUUCUGAUAGUUGUGCAUUGACGAAAUGCUACAUGAUCCAAAUGCAAAUGCUUUGACUUUCUGAGUUUAGAUUGGUAUCUUCUUCUUCUUUUAUCAUUGUGCACGGAGCCUGUUUGUCACCAUCACAUGGGCCGACACAACAAGGAUGUUGCUGGACUAAUUUGAUAAGGAAAAUGAACUACUAGUGCUCUGCAAUUAAUUUAUGCUUGAAGAUAUCUGCUUGAUGAUGUUUGAUUAGGUGGUAGGCACUAGGCAGAAUGGAGCUUGGGUAUAAUAGCAUAGCAGAAGGAAACACCAGACAUUCAGAGACUGGUAUUGGUAUCUUGCCUUCAUAACUAAUCUGAAACCAACAGCUGAACAGCAAACCUCUGGUGUGUUCCAGAAAACUUGAUGAUCACUGCAACUAGGCACGUUUGCAUUUUUGCGCCCGAAUUAAUCACGUUGUUUAUUUCUGUGUGCUCGCCUCAAAGAAAUAACGGGAUGGUGCAUGCAUCUGGGAGAUGGAGAAAUGGAUCGAUCAAGGGCAGCAUAACUGCAAGCGGUGCGCGGACAAGGGAGUGAGGACAGAAAAGGAAAAUGACAACGUGAGAUUCUCAAAGCUCUUUUUUUUUAUGAUGUAAGCCUCGAGCUCGGCUUUGAUGCAGCGUUGAAAAAGCGAGACGAAAAGGUUGAUUGAUUUCAACUCCCAAGGUCUCAUGGGAGGCUGCUGGAGGACUAGUAGGACAACGCAGCAGAGAAUACUCUUGAGCCUUGUGAUCAUGCGCGUACGUGUAUGGUUUACCAUUGCUUUAUUUAUUUAUUUUUCUCGAGGACACGGAUGAUUUUGUAUUUCAACACAACUCUUGUUGCGGCACGUGCUGGAUGCUUUCCCCGUUCGCAAGCAAUCAUAGUAGUAUGCCCCAAGUUAAAGACUAUUCUCGAGUUAACACCUGAUAAGUUUGGUUAUUACUCUCUCAUCUCUCCUCUAUUAUUCUUUUAAUUAACACAACGUAGAUGCUCGCACGCGUACAUGCAUGCACUCUUGAUCUUUCUUUUUUCGAGUCAAUUUCAUUUUAGCUUGCAAAUGACGUGAACCGAAAGCAUGGUUUUUAUCCAAAAUCUACCCCUUUGCUUUAGCAAAAGCUCAGACCAAGAUUGGUGCUCAAGAUCAUGAAAGAUACCCUGCAACUUCUGUGCAAUCCACUGUUGCUCGGGGGCAUAUGCGCUGGGAUCACCUACUCAUCUCUACCCAAUUCAUCGAAUCCUUCGAGGGUAUAAAUGUAAAUCUCCACACCCAGAGCGCGGUGCACAAGAGGGAGGGAAAAGCCAGAGCAGCCACCGCUCCGGUUCGCAGCUUCCACACCUCACCACCUGAGCUCGGUCGGUGGCGGGCUGCCAGCCGCUUCCUUCCGUCUGCCGCUUUGCUUGCUCCACCCCCACCGCACGCACCUCGCCUCCGUCCAGGCAGAGAGACCCGGGUCAAGCGAUCCGGUCGCAUCUCCACGCGCAACUCGGCCUCCCCGUGCGUGCGGUUCUUAGUGGCGAGGGUGUGCGUGGCGGCGGCCUCUAGUUGACUGCUCGAGGUGUGAGCUCCGACACCUGCUGCGGCGCGCUCGUUUCUUGACGGCGUGCGCGGCCGCCGUUCUUGCAGCAGGGUUUCGUCCCGUCCCGUGAGGAGUGGGUGAGUCGGUGGGCGGGGUUCGAUCUGAACAAGGCUUGGGGUUCUUGCUGGGGGCGCCCGGUUGGUCAGCUCGCAGAAGAAGCCGAGCUGGUUGGGCGUGGAGGUUUUGAUUGACUUUUGAGGUGCCGGGAGUUGACAGGUUGCUUCUUGCUCGCUGGUUUCUUGGCUCUGCGGCUACGGAGCUUGCUGAUUUUCCUCCAGAAUUUGUGGCGGAGCUCCGUCCUGACCUUGCGAAGAUUGGACCUUUGGGGCUGCUUGCUCACUGUUUGCCUUGCCGGAGAAUCUUGGGAGCCUCUGUUCCUCUUGAUUCCUUGCAUUACCGGUCAUCUUGUGCUCCGAGCCAACUAAGGGAGCCCAUCUUUUCCCGCUCAGCGCGUUCAUGUAAACGGAGGAUUGAGCUGAUCUAGCUGGGGAUCUUGAGGCGACAGAGUUCUUGUUUGCUUGCACAGUGCAUGAGUGGUGGGUGAAUUGGUACAGAGGGAAACAUGGGGAAUUGCAUGGACACCACGGCGCGGGUGGAUCACAGCAUCAACAAUGCUGCCUGUGAGUGCCCUGGCUUUCUCUCUAGAAUUCUUUUGCUCUAUAUUUGUCAAUUUUGUUUUUUAUAGCUCUGGAUUGGUAUGCUGCUUAUAUGAAUUUACCCCUUUCGUGCUAGAUAAUUUUGAGAUCGAACUACUUGUUCUGGCUCAAUUACCUGUUUUGGUCUAGAGUUUUUGUUUUUAGUUGUUAGCAGCUUCCUUUCUACUUUUGUUCCUCUGUUACUUCUGUAGGAUAAGACAUCGGUAGGGUUUAAAGCCAACAGUAGGAACUUUUGUGCCUGAAUAAUGUUAGGGCGCUUUCACAGCACUUCUAGGGCCAUUGAGGUGGCAAUCGAAUCUGAUAAUUGAACUACGAGUGGCAUGAUCACCCUGAUUUACAAAUUGGAACAUUAGGCUUGAUGUACUUUGAUUCCACAUUAGCAAAACGAAUAGAGGUUACUACGGAUCCAGUAAGAAUUUUGUAGCAUACGGUUAUUGGAUCCAAUAAGAAUUUUGUAGCAUAUGGUUAUUGGAUCCAAUAAGAAUUUUGUAGCAUACGGUUAUGGUAAGUAGGUUCACAAAUUUGGCAGAGCACCAGUUAGGGAAAUACAGCCCCUUCUGAUCAGCUUGGAAGGUUGCUGUUAAAUUGACAGCCUAAACAUGUUUACAAUUUGCUUAAUUAUUAGCAAAAUUUUAGUACCAGAAUUCAUGAGUAUGACAUCAUCAUAAUCUUUAAAUGCUAUUGAUAUCAAGUUGUUCUGAUUUUCCUCUGCUUCUUGUUGAGAGAUCAGACCCGUUAAAAGUGACCAGCAAGACAAGUUUAUCAUCUGUCCCUUCCACGAUUAAGAGCAACUCAACUCGCUCAACUUUGACUCUUUCGUCUAUGAGAGAUCGAAGUGAGCUUCCUACUCCUCGAACAGAAGGUGAAAUUUUGUCAUCUUCUAAUUUGAAGGCAUUCACGUUCAAUGAUCUAAAAACUGCAACCAAGAACUUCCGACCGGACAGUCUUCUUGGGGAAGGAGGAUUUGGGCAUGUCUAUAAAGGUUGGAUUGAUGAACACACGCUUGCCCCUUCAAAACCGGGUAGUGGUCUCGUUGUUGCUGUCAAGAAGCUUAAACCAGAAGGCUUCCAAGGACACAAGGAAUGGCUGGUAGGUUCAUCUCUCUUCUAUAUAUUUUCUACUGCUCCAAGAAUAUUUUUUUAUUAUUCCCGAUUGUUCUUACCCUUUGCCUGCUGCAGACAGAGGUUGAUUACCUUGGCCAACUUCACCACAAGAAUCUUGUUAAACUCAUUGGUUACUGCUCAGAUGGUGAUAACCGGCUUCUGGUGUAUGAAUUCAUGCCCAAGGGAAGUUUGGAGAAUCAUCUGUUCAGAAGUAUGUAUUUAAUCUCUAUAGCACUGCAUUGUGGAGUCCCAAGUUUCAUAUAACUUAUUUGGGCAUUUAAUAAUGCAAUAUUUCUACUUUUCAGGAGGUGCUGAUCCUUUGUCAUGGGCAAUAAGGCUCAAAGUUGCUAUUGGUGCCGCUAGGGGUUUAUCAUUUUUACAUGAUGCUGAAAACCAAGUCAUAUAUCGUGAUUUCAAGGCAUCGAACAUUCUCCUCGAUUCGGUAUGCUUAAAUACUAGGCCAACUCUGAUUGUGAAGCAUGCAUAUCUGUUGAAUGCCCCUUUAUCUUGUUCUUUGUGGUUGUUUCAACGCAGGAAUUCAACGCAAAGCUUUCAGAUUUUGGCUUGGCAAAAGCUGGUCCAACCGGGGAUAAAACCCAUGUAUCCACACAAGUCAUGGGCACUCAUGGAUAUGCAGCUCCAGAGUAUAUUGCAACAGGUUAGAUAUUUUGUCUCGACGUAUUUAUAAAAUAAUUGGGUAUAUACUGUGCAUUGUUCUUGUGUAUGGCUUCAUCUUUAACGGGAGAUGCCAAUGCUGGGUCCUUGUACUGCAUUAGCUAAAGCUCACUUAAUUAUCUUGUUUCCUACCUAAAGCAUCUUUGGUGGUCCUGGGUAUAAUAGAGGACUACUUGUUUAAACUAAAAGAAAUUAUUGUGCCAUCCUGCCAUCGAAUAAGUGUAUUUGCAUUUCAUUUUUAUUUCAAUAAGUUGGAUCCAGUUGUACUUAUGUUCUAUUUUGUGUUGCAUUCCCUUAAAUGGAGCAUUUCAUUUUGAUACGUCAGAUUAGUCCUUCCACAUUGUGAAUGCUCCAGUGAACUUUGUUCCUACUAAGUGCAGAGGGAAAAAUAUUCCUGGAUUUAGGAAAUAAUCGAACAUAAUGGUAAUAAAGAUAGAUGAUUAUUUCUGGAUCUAUUUGUUCUCAUGUUACUUGAAAAUUCGCAGGCCGUCUCUCUGCAAAGGCAGAUGUCUACAGCUUUGGGGUGGUGUUGCUUGAGUUGCUCACUGGAAGAAGAGCCCUGGACAAAUCGAAGCCAGGCAUAGAGCAGAACUUAGUUGAUUGGGCCAGACCUCACUUAGGUGACAAGCGCAGGCUAUACCGCAUCAUGGACACGAAGCUUGGAGGGCAGUAUCCAAAAAAGGGUGCAAACGCCAUUGCAAGCAUUGCCUUGCAAUGCAUCUGUGGUGAUGCCAAGAUGCGGCCUCGGAUGUCUCAGGUGUUGGAAGAGCUGGAGCAGCUGCAAGAUGCCAAAUAUGGUUCAGCGUCACCACUGGUUGACAUUCGGAAGGCCUCACACGCCGUACCAAGAUCGCCAAGAUCACCAAUGAGAGUCCAACCUUCGCCACGGCGCUCACUUGGAGCAGCAGCAGCAUCCCCAUUGCCAGGAUAUCGCACUGCACAAGUGCACUAGGACGAGACUUAGAAGAUGCGACGUACCUGUAGGUUGUAUAUUUGUUGGUUCAGCAGUGAGCAGCGUUGUAACUUUUGCUUCUACUGAUGUUUUGGCGAUCAUGUGUGACACGGGAACACCACUAUGUCAAUCUAUGAUAAGUUGCCUUGCCUGGUUCAGCAAGCGUAUAGCGUUGUGGCCUGGUGUCGUCAGUGUUUUGAAAUUCACUCGGCUGGCACGUAGAACUUCCUCGAUCUCUUUGUUUGCUGCCAUGGAAAAUCGUAAUGGAGUUGCACAGUUUCUACAGAAAAAUAGACGAAUGAUGCUCCAUCUCAAGGCGAUACGAAGUCUUGGUUUCGUGUGCAAGUUUUUUUUCUUUGGACAAAAGGUUUUCUCCCGCUUCUUUUUUCACUCGAAAUGUGGUGUCAUGAUGUGCAAGUUGCUUACAUACAUCAAUUGUUUUGGGCAAAACGAAAGUUGGUAGCAGGUAAAGCUGCAUUCUACGUUUCUGUUUUCAUUUCUCGACAAUGAACUCCUGAAUCUCUAUCCCAGUGUGACGAGCGCCGCCCUGUUUCCUCACCAAAACUUCAUCACCGACUUUCAGCGAAGUCACAGGAAUAGCAGUUCUUCCACUUGAUCCUGUGCCGAACGAUAAUACAUGCCAGGAAUUAGCUGGUUGAAAAGAGACUUAAAAAUGAUAGAUAUAAUAGCAACUUAGUGAUAUUCAACGUUUACAGUCCAAUCUUUUAAUUUUGGACCACAAUGGAUUUACCUGUGUCAUCAAUGAUGAGAGCAACUGUCUCUGCAUUCUGUAGGAAAAUGCUAUACGUAUCUCCAGAGUUGUCCUGCAGCAAGCCAAUAGUACCAUGAAAUGGACAUUCACAUGAAAAAACCACAUAAAGCUUACAGCAAGGUACACCGGUUUUUUGUACCUUUGCUUCUACAAGGAUGAGAGGCCUUGAUUCAAUCUUGACACGACCCACAAUCGCAGUACGCCAUAGCCCAUGUUGAUCAACCACAAUUACUUCCUUUCCUGAUCGCAGCUCAGAGAGGUAGCUAGUCUUGCCCCCAGGGACAGUGACAUAUGCAUGCACAGGCCCCUAAAAGUGACAAGAUCAUAUAUUAGUAUAGGUCUUUGCUGUGUUGCAAUAAACUAAUACCCAGUUACCCAUAAUAGCUUUGCUGCCAUCCAAUUUAUUUUAAACUUACCGCAUUGACCCUGAAAGGCCUGCUUGCAAUGUAGUUUGUCUCCAAGCAUUCAGAGUGAACAAGGAACAUUCCUCUUGCAUAGGAUCCAACCUGAAAACAAGAUGCCAUGUAACUCUAGAUGCAGACUUGUAUGCUUGUAUGGAUAACAGGAAUCAACAAAAUGCCAAGCCAAUAAGGCAGACCGGUAUAUCCAUGAGGUCACACUGAACAGUGAAUAUUUUAAUAUUUCUAUUUUUUUUCUAUGCAUGGCAACAAUGAACAAGUGAGAUAUAUACACAAACCAGAAGGCCUUCACCAGGUCGCAUGAUACUGCAAAGGUCCACACAAACACGAUCACCCAUACCAACAACUUCAACCUUCGAUACAGUAGCCUUUGUCAAUGGUAAUUGACUCUUUGCCUCAUUCCUUCUGUCAAAAUAACCCUGAGUCAUUAAAAGGGGAGGAAAAACAAACAUCUGGUAAAUCGUACAUGAAAAAAACAAUAAGCAGUAGCAAGAAGGAGCCUCUUGUACAGUCACAUAAAUACACUACAACCAUGGCAUUUAAUACUACAAGCCCAUUUUAUACUGGCAGGUGUUUACUAGUUAAGCACAGCGGAACUUUACAUAAAGUUUUUAUAAAAUACCUUGAGCUUAAUGAUAUCAUCCAUGUCAUCUACUUUAAGUACAACUCCAUCAAGCCCUUGCUCCAAGGCCUACAAAAUGAGUGAAGGAAACAUGACUCAGCCACAGACAACAUAAUUUACAACAAAUACCUACCAGCAUUGUAUGUGCGAGAUGGUGUUAUAUCUUAUCUGUUGAAAUCUUUGGAAAAUUACCUCAAGAAAAACUUGAGCCUCAGUUGAAUUUGUUGAAACAGCCAAUACAGUUCCUUUACAUCCUUGGAAUGCAGCAACUAUAUUUUCGGCCGGUAUAACCUAAGAAAUGUGGAAAGGAAAUACCACUGAGUGCCUCUGAUGGAUAGGGUAGGUUUAUGCAAUAAUGUUUGGAAGCCACUGAUCAGACACACACACACACACUUGUUACAUUCCUUUGACGAAAUAUAAAUAGAAAACCUAGAGUGUAGUAAUGUGUUAACCAAUCUCAACUCACUAUGAUAAUUUACGACAUUGUAUGCGUAGAAAACAAAACAGAACUUUGAAACAAUUUCCUUGCUAUGGAUCAGGGGGCUAAUAAGAUUGGUGCUUAUGCUGCAAUGUUCAGUAGUCUAACCUGCCAACCACCUCGAAAGUCUAUGACAAUGUUCUUGACUUCUACAUUGUCUGGUUGUACGAGUUCAAGCUCUCUGGGUGAAGAGACUUGCGAAAUUUCAGCAACUUUUUGAUUUUCGCCAUCGAAAAUCUCUGGACCAUCAAUGAAGAGAGGAUUGAUGCGAGCAGUUGCUGAAAAAGCAAAUGAGCAUGCAAAAUCAUGAAUUCAUGAACCACUAGAAUCUAAGAAGUCUUAAUGCUUGGUCAAGUAUAUCAUCAGACAAGCCUACACUAAUUUAAGUAGGAACACAAGGCCUGGCUCGACAGGUUUUCACCCUUUUGGCCUUUUUUCCAAUGUAAACUAGUCUGCAUCGGUCUUUGGAAUUUGUAAAUUGUAUAAUAUUAUGGGCUUGAGAUAAAGAAAAUAAUUGUUCUCACAUGACCAAUCUUCGCCGAGAUCUUUGGAUCCGAAGAGGAAAGUGCUCCACCCCCUCUCCACGGCCGCCGUCAUAACCUGCCGAUUCUCGGUCCACACCCAGACGGUCUUCUUCAGCUCCGCUGGCGCAGCAGUAGAGGCGCGCAUCCUGACGGAAGCUCGACGCGGCGAAGCUGACGCCACCGCUGCAUCACACCAAUCAGAAUCCCAGGCUCACAAUCAGUAGCCAUCGCAAUAGCGAAAUCAUCGGUUGGCUGGUUACUUGGACCCCCCAUUUCCCGCCAAAGCCAAACGAUGAAAUCAGCAAGUGAUGGAACAAAGGGGUGGAUUGAGCCAUUGAGUCGGGAGCCACGAAUCGGGUUGGGGGAUCUGCGUAUGGGCGAGGCAUCUAGUAGGAAAAGUAGAACAAGGUAGGGACAGGGCAGUACCUGUUGUUCGGGUUUGGGGCGCGAGGAGGGAGGCGUGGAAGCACGCCAGGGCUUUGGCAGAGCCCGAGGAGGAGGCGGCUGCCAUUGAUGAUUCGAGCUUUGUGGUUUGCUUAGCUUCGCUCGCAUCAUCAUCUUCCUCCUGACAUUUUUGGCCCCCAUCGUGAUGAGGGCUUUGUAUGGAGGCCCAUGCAGAAUUUCGAAAGAGCGCGAUCAUUUUUGAGCCAAAAGCCCAAGUGAGAGAAGGCCCAAGACUCAUGCAGCAGCCGGUGGAUUUUGGCCCAUGGGAUCCAGCGGCCCCGAUUAGGCGAUUACUGUUGUGCGAUUAACUCUGAUCUUCGGCUAGUUUCCGUACAGUUCCACGGGAGAGGAUUUGCAAAGUCCUCUGCAUCGACGGGGAAAAAAAUCGACCACCUCUGCAAAAAGGGAACCAUUUACAGUUGCUCUUACAAAUCACCAAGAAUGCAGAUAAGCAACCUUUAGCCUAACAAAUUCCUGCGCCAUUUGCUGUGACGUUGCUUUACGGUGUGGAAACCGCGUGGAACUGGACUGAUGCAGCACCUGACAAGAACGGCCGCGUCACCCCCCGGCUCUAUCCCUCUGCAACGGAACCAAACUGAUCUGAACGCAGAGAUUACCUUCACUCGCAGAGCGAGUCGUUGCUGAUGGCUCCUGCUGGUGCAAAAGCCCGGAAGCAAGAGUCUUCUCUGUGGCCGUCCUGGUACGCGUACAAGGCACAGCCAGCCCGUGGCCCGCCUGAUGCCAAGAUUCCGUUCCGUUUCCUCAGGAUUUGUUUUCUCCCAACAGGCCAGAGUGGCACCGCGCGCGCGUUCCGUUUCCCAUUCCCCCCACCACGACGUGUUCUCCGCGCAGCACUGCCCGCCGUGGAGCCGUGUGCUCGGCCACUCGGCGCCGGCGCCGCCGGUGCUCGGUGAGCGAGCGGGCCAGGUCCGACGCGGCGGGGCUCCCUCCAGUGAGCGAGGACAACGGAGUGGCUAGAGAUGGCAACGGGCACGCGCCCGCUGGGUAUUACUUGCCUAUACUAGUGCCUGUUAGAAUAAAAUACACCCGCUAAGAAACCUAUACCCGCUGCCGGGUACAGAUUAUGUCCUGAACCCGUACCCGCACGGGUGGCGGGUACCCGCGGGCUGCCCGUGCCCGACAAUCUGUUAAGUACUCAACCACUUAGAUGUAUCAGCCAAUAGACACAUACAUAAAAUCGAGACAAUAAUAUAAGAUAAACAUCAAUCAUAAGACUGAUAGAGUGUUUCACAAAUCAUAACACCAUUGAUCACAUCAGACAUCACAAGUUCACAGCUAGAUUAUUAUCCAGUUACUGUCCACCAUCCGUAGCAUGGCACCACUAGUUCACUGCAUUAGACAUCAAACUUCCAAAAUAAACUUAUUGGACCAUAAUAAAAUGAGUAUAUGAUGUGCAUUCUUUAUAUUAUAUCGGGUUUAAAAAACCCGUGGGUUUGCGGGUUCGGGUGCUACGAUCUCAUACCCGUGCCGCGUACUCGCUGGGUACAGAUUAUCACCCAUUAAGAAACCCACGGGUAUAGAUAUUAAUCCGUACUCGUACCGUAAAAAUCCGCCGGAUUUCAGGUGUCAGUUACCCAUUGCCAUCUCUAGGAUCGGUGGACACGGUCGGCCUGUCCCUUUCCAUAAUCUCUUGCCCGGUCCAACCCAACGGCUAUCCCGAGACAAAGGUAGCAUCCAAUGGAGGGACAUUUUUGCUUCUAGGCCCUCUUACUACAUUGAUAUUCAGUAACACGUGGAAUCUGGUUGUGUUUUUCAACGCGCUUACGACAACAAGUGAUUUGACGAAGCACCAGGGCCUGCUGUGCAAACUCUCCCCAACGGCUCGUUCAACCUCCAUGUCGUUUGAUAUAAACGAGUAACGAGUUCGCUCCCUCCCAAAAGAGGCUCAGGAAGAUUCAGCUGCAGCCACCAUCCCGAGGAGCAGGCAGCAGGAGCCACCAAGAAUCAGAGCGCAACGGGAACGGCCUUCCUGCCAUAGCCGCGCCAUCGCCAUGGCCGGCUGCUGCGUCUUCCUGCGGUGGCCGUCGGCGUCGCCGUCCCGCAUCGGCUACCGCUCGCUCGACGACGAGGCCGCGGCCGCGGGCCCAUCCCCGGCGCCGGCGGCGGUGACUGUCGUGGUCGGGAAGGAGAGGCGGGCGUUCUCGGUGGACCAGCUCGUGCUCGACUCCUACCCGUUCCGGGUGCUCCUGGAGACGGUGUCGCGGAAGGAGGAGAGCCGGGGCGGGGCCAUCUUCGUCGACGUGGACGCCAUCCUCUUCGAGCACAUCCUCUGGCUCGCCUGCGACGGCCGCUCCGUCUCGCAGAUCCUACAGCUCGACCUCAAGGAGAUCAUCGACUUCUACGCCCAGGACGCCUGAUUCUCUGGUCCGGCGGCCGGCCGGCCUGCCCGUGCCCGUCCUUGGGGUGCGGCUCCUGAUUUCUUGAUCAGAUUUUUUUAUUCAUUUUGUUCUUCUUCAUCUUAUGUGCUAAUUAAUGUGCAUAUUGAUGAACUUCUGUUACAAUGAUACUGUUGGAAAUACACUGAAGUAUAAACACAUGGCCGGUAGCCAUUUCUGACUGACUGCCGUGCACUUCUUUGGUUAGUACCUGGUCCAUCUGAAGCUUGCUGAUCAGCUUCGUUAACUCUGUUUCUCCUCUUCUAAAUUCUUGUCCAUUUACAGCAAGACGCUGUCAAACAUGCAACGCAAUUAGAAUCUAGGAAGUUUUCGUUCGGGGAUGGAACUUCGUUCUGGUCAUUUUCACUCAUUCUUCUAAAAAACACGUUGUCUGAUGACCACAAGCUGUAUACAAUAAGCUGUCAGCUACCGUCUGAACGUGACGUCCACCAACUCAAAACGUCUUGACCAUUUCGUUCGCACGGUCGGGUGAUCCAACUGUCGACUACCUGACAAAGAAAAUGCAGAGAAAUUGUGAGACGUCCGUGCAUUAUUGUGGGACUGACGAGAGAAAAACAAAGGGCGUUGUUCCUUCCAGGCAAUCACAUCCUUUGGUGUUUACACAAGACUCCAGCUAUUCCAGUUCUGUAUUGGCAUCAAAUCAUCCUCAUCUUGUCGUAAACAAUUCAAGAAGAUAUUGCCGAUGGACCGAGAGAUGUCAGGGAUACGCGUGCUUGUUUCGUUGGGAAUCUUCAGAUUUCCACACCAUUUUGUAUUCCAUUUUUUCUUGAUGAUAUACUACAAUACAGUACUAGAAUUUUGCAUUGCGGUUACUUACUAUUAACGCCUUACUCGUCCAGUCACUGACUGCGUCACCGGAUUAAGUUUUUUAUUCAGUAUAAAAGCCGCCCUACCUGCAUCGUUACUCGUGUGCAUUUCACACCUAGCCCUUGCAAACCAUUGACUUAGCCCAAAUGAUGUUUAGCAGGUCAGGUCACACCCUGGGCCAGUUGAGGACUUGAGGCCCAAACAUCGCCUGGCUAAUGUUUCGGCUAUCUUCAACCGUCGUUCUCUAUAUCGUUCUCUGUAUCCGUCAUUUACAGACUUCUCUACAAAAUUCUCUCCUCUAUAUCUCAUUUCUCUCCAACAACAUUCUCUAAAUCUCGUUCUCUAUACAUUAAACCCUAUAUUAGAAAUAUAUUUUGUUCCAAAUUUUUGUACGUACGUAUUUAUCAUACCUCAAAUACUAUGGACAUAUUUUAUUUUUAUUUAAUCCAGUGUUUAAAACGUAAAGAAAAAAUAGAGAAGAAGAGAGAGAAUCUCUAUAUAUAGAGGAAACCUGUAGCGUUCUCUAUUUUAGAGGACCAUUUAGAUAACGCUGCUGGAGCAUAUAGAGAACGGAAUCUUCUCUAUAUAUACGGUAGAGAACGGUUUAUAGUCUCCUGUUGGAGACAGCCUAAGUGCUGUAGCUUUUGGGAGAGAAGGCACCAUCAUAAUCAGAAGUUAUCAUUAGUGUGGUACCAACCAAAGUAGUUUUGCCGCACAAAAGAAUGUCCUUUGGAAUAAUAACCAGCUCUAACAACCAAAUUGGUUGAGAGUUGAGACGCAGCUUCAGUUCAGAGGAUGACUAGCCAACCUUGUUUGUUUGCACCAGUUGGUUGCACAACUGCCGACUCUUGUUCAAAGUCGUUUUUUUUUUGCUCAUUACUUCUCACCAAAACUGUACCAGUGCUGUCUAUGGUUGCAUCAGGUAGGUAGAGCCACAAAAGCAGAUGAAAUAUUCUAAACCUCGGAACAUAUUGUGUUCUCUUAAGUAUAGCAUCUUCUGGUCCAACCAACAAAAAACUACAAAAUCCUCGGUUAGAAAAAAAAGGUACAAAAGUAUAGUGCUAUUGGAACCAAACUCUGAAGUCUGAACUGUAAAGCCUGCACGCAUCCUAGCAGAAAAGGCACUUUAGGUUUCUGUUACAUGAUGUCCGAAAUGCCUCUACCUGGUCGGAAUGUCAUCAUGAGAUUAUCAUGAGAUUCCGGUUUAAAGGGCAUUUUGCUAGUUUGUAUGAGAUUCCGAUCUAAAGUGCAUUUUGCUAGUUUGUAGUGUACAAAUCGACUGCUCUUAGUCCAUCACGCUGUUUGCGUGAUCCCGAAGCUUGCCCCUGACCUUCGAUCAUCAGUGACCUUCGCCUUCGUAUGGGCUCGAAGGUCGCCCAUGCUGGUCAGUCGACACCAUCAAGAAGUUUAUUGUGGGCGCGCCAUGUGCUGCCUAGAGGCUUGUUCAGACCUUCGGCUUGCAGGCUCCUCCUAGCGAAGGUUCGACAUGGUCUCGUGCUUGCUUGUCUAGCCACUCGGCACCCUCGAACGCAGGCUGCGGGACUUUCCCUGCAUAGAAGAAAGGUGUGGGCUGGCUAACCUUCGGCGAGACAUUCGUGGAGGUGCAAUCCCCAACGGUUUUAGGGAAUAAAAAUAAGCUCCCGUCAUUCGGAUGUUUAAUACCAAUUAGAAUUAUUAAAUAUAAGCUAAUUACAAAAUCGAUUGUAUAAAUGGAGGCUAAUUCACGAGAUGAAUCUAUUAAGCCUAAUUAGUCUGUGAUUUGACAAUAUUGUGCUAUAGCAAAUAUAUGCUAAUGAUAGGUUAAUUAGGUUUAGUAGAUUCAUAUUGUGAAUUAGUCUCCAUUUAUGCAAUUAGUUUUAUAGUUAUAUUAUAUUUAGUCCCUCUAAUUAGCAUUAAAUAUCCGAUAUGACACCAACUAAAAAUAAGUCACCGGUUCAAACGCAUCCUCAACGUGUCCACCACUCUUGCAUGACCUCUCCAGAAUAUUGCCUAUGCAUAUAUGGGGCAUUAAAAACGAACGAAACCUUGCCAACGCGUCCAGCCGCUAACGCUAUCAUCAUCAUGAACGAAUUCAUGAUGGGAAGUUAGGAUCAGUGGCAGUUGGCACCACCACGCUGGAGCCUGGAGGUGCCGAGAGCUUCUGUAACUGUCAGAACCUCUGAACCUCCUGCGUCUCUGUGGACUGUGGUCUCUAAGAACUUCAUGGAAGAAGUAGUCUGAAACCUGCAUCUAGAAGAAGUAGGCCUAGAUAGACAGAUAACCGCCUAGGAGAUGUGGUCCAUGUGGACAGGACGCACGCUGCUUCGUCUCUCUGCAAGUUGCAGCCAUGGAGCGAGCGAAGGAAGGAGGAGCUCGGCAGCUCGCUGUCGCCUCCGAUCAGCAAGGACGCCGGGUGAUCCAACGGACUCUGCCUCUCCAUUUCGGGUCUCAAAAGGCGCUGCGGCGAGCUGGCCACACGGAAUCGCCUAUUUUUCCUGCCCACCAAUCACCAUCCUCUGCUCCCGGAAAGGCAGCUCCGCUUCAGCUCGCAGUCCCACAGAGAGGCAACGCCGUGUGUGUGAUCGAACUGUGAAGCUAUGGCCGGUGGGCCGGGUGAGCCUCCUCGCCACUCACGGGCUUGUGGGCCCAAAUCGGGAAGCAAUCAAUACACCCCAGCGAGUCACCAGCUGUGGCCGCCCGCUGCCCGCUCGCCCGCCUGCCUCCGCAGACGCGUGGACCGGUGGACGGCGUGGUGUGCAACGGGCAGUCAGAGCACGCCAGUGGAGCUCUCGCGGCCACGGCACUGACGGGCCAGGGUUAGCAGGAAGAUUAGCCGCUAAGUCUGCCGUGGGCACCCACUGUUAGCUUGAUACCAGCUGGAUUAGCAUUUCUUUUCUUUUCCUUUUUGCCUCGUCAGCCUAUAUAAUGUCCAGCUCGUCCUCUCCCUCUCCUCCAAACAAUCGCUCUGCGGCGCCCGUGCCUCUCGAAGAAGACAAGUCCAACACUGUUGCUGCGUGACCGCUGAAUUUGCUCCACAGCUUCAUCAGGGAAGACAGGGGUCAGGGAAGACAACUAGACAAGAACACCAGAGGGAGAGAAAGCGAGAGAUCAUCAAUGGAGAACACGAGAGAGGUAACAGCGAUCCCCAUCUCCCUGAAUCGUUCCCAGUAUCUGCUAGCCCGUGAACGAAUCCUCUCUUGCUUCCUGGUUGCUUCUUGAGGAGCUUAGCGCUCGGAUUCCUGCUGUGAUACAUUCGUCCAUGAACUCGUUCUCAGUCUCACCGCUUGCGUUCUUUGGUGCGUGCAGCAGCGGGGCCAGGACGCGGCAGGCGCCAACGGCUGGAUGACGGUGCCGGCGUUCGGGGACUGGGACAUGAAGAACGGCGCGCUGCCGGACUACUCCAUGGACUUCUCCAAGAUCCGUGAGAUGCGCAAGCAGAACAAGAAGGAGCUCUCCCGCGCCAGCCUCGGCGGCGACGAGGACCUCUCCCAGGCCCAGCAGCAGCGCAACCAGGCGCAGGCCAAGGCAGAGCCCAAGCUCGGCCGACCCGCCGACGACCACCGCCGGCAUCUCCACGACUCAUCAACGGUAAAGCUCCCUUCCCUCCAUGCGCCGCGCCAUACUUCGUCAUUUCUCUCAUCGUGCUCACCAAACGGUCAAAUCCGAGGUCCCAUUUCAGAAUCAACCCAAAUUAAAGGAGUAUUUUUUCGCGCAAAUCCAACAUAUUUGCAUUUCGAUUCAUCUGAUGUUAGGUGACGCGCAGAGUAACAACUAGUGUAAAGAUAUUAACUUUCUACCAUGUGACAGGAGUACAGAGUCCAUGUUUAAAUAAACGGUCAAAUUAUCAAAGGAGACAAUGGAGUAAAAAAAAACUAGCAAGUGGCAAAACCAGUUCUUGGAAUGUACCGCAUUACAAUACAGUUAGCACUUCACCACUUCGUAGGUAGCACCUAUGCAGUCUGUAGAAGCUUACUUUCCUGCUGCACUCUUUCUGAAACAGAUUUUCAAGACGGUAUAAUAGUUUCUCAUUAGCAACCAGUUACCGCGUGAGGUUUCAGGGUCAAAAUCGUGCUCCAAAGCAUUGAAAAUCUUACAUGGACGGUAGAACUGAGCAUGUGAAUGUGGGUAGGAGUAGGACAGCAACUUGCAUUUACAUGUGGUAGUACUUGGAACUGGGGUAAUAGUUAAUGUCUUAAAACAAAUGUUCUCCUCUGGUAACUGAGGAUAGGAUGCUCUGCGAGCAUGAUCGUUUUUGUGCUUUUAAAAUGGUGGGAUAUCCUUUUGUCUAAUACUCUGAGGACAGGAUAAAAAGACAAAUGGAGUCAAAUGGGCUCACAGCAGCUCCCUGAUGAUCCGUCUAAGCAUUAGCAUACACUCUAAAUUGUAAUAAGAUGUAGGCACUAGAGAGGUGUGCAUCAAAAUUCUGAAUAACUUCUGAAUGCAGGGUUUAGAGAAAUAAUAAUAUGAAAGAUGCAAAAACCUCUUCCCAGUUAUAAUGAACUGUUAUUAGGAGUUGUACUGAAAUAUAAUUUGGUAAGUUAGAUGAUUGUUUCAAUGUGAGUCGUAUCUGCUGCCCAUAUUGGGAUCAGAGUUGGUUCAAACAACUAUAGAUUUGUUGGCCUGUAUGGACGUGUCCCAGUUUUAUGAAUUAUUCUUUGUUAUAACUGAUUGGAAAGGACGAUUCUUCCUAUUUUCUUAAUGAUAUUCUCCGUAUCUGUAUGCCUUUAGAAAGCUGCGCUGAUGUACCAGCUGUGUCACUGUCCAUAGGGGAAUCUUAGGGAAACUAAUGAUGGGCUGAGUCAGUUGAGGGGAUAAGCAACACUCAGGUUGAGGUUGGCAUAAUGGUUGAAGAAGCAGCAAACUAAGGAUUUCGUUGCCAACAAACUAGAACAUUUGGUCAGUUUGUUGGCAUAUGUUCAUAAUUUUACUCAUGACCCAAUUGCUGCCACAGAUACAAGAUUGCUUGUACUUGUAAAAUAUCAGAUAUGAAAUAGCGCGAUUAACUGAACCUCAAACAAUCGCACGUCUACUUCACUAUGCAUCAGUCAUUUUUCUGCAUAACACUGAUCCAUGCAUCAUGGUUACUGACCUGAAAUUUGUUGACGCAGGGAGGGAAGAAGUUUCUGAGCUACUUCCAGUGCUGUAUCAAGGCCUGAAGAGGAGGAAGUGCUGCCACUGCAUGUGUGAACAAUUAGGUCUCGGUUUUGUUAAAAAUCUAAAAAUGUGUAAUAUAUUUGUCCUGAUGGCUACUCUUUCGGUAUGUAUGAAGAACAAACCAGUUUUAUGGGGGUAACGGUAAACAGCGGUCUCCUUGUACAAGCUGUCAUUGAUUUGUUUGUGACAUGUGGUACAAUGUUACCCUGUAAUCUAAUAUGUUGAAGGGGGGAUUUGGCAUCUGCUCCAUCUUUUUUGUGCGAUUGAGGGCCAUGAUUCGUUUGAAUUGUUUUUGUAACUGUGAUGGGGGAAAUCUAUGGAAAGAAGAAAUGCCCUUGCUCCUUCACUCCAAUUUAUCUGCUCUGUCAGGAACCGAAUUGCGCAGAUUAAGGAUGCAGAACCUGCAUUGUGUUUCUACAUUCUAAUCAUCAGAGCUGGUCACUAUUAUACGACGUUCUUCAGUGCUGUGCUGCGUGGGUUAUGAUGGAUAUGGAGAAUGGUGCACUCUGAAUUUUAUUUUAUUUUGACACGGCUACAUUCUGAAUUGAAGCGGUUUAUCUGAAGCUUGUGUGUGUUUUGAUAAGAAUGUGCUGUAUUGGUUAUGUUUGGAUAUGGCGAACGGUACAUUCUGCGGGCCUAUUUGGCUGGGCUGCGGCAGCUCUAGCUCCGGCUCUCCGAUGGAGCGACUUCUCUGAUGAAGCUGAAGCUAUUUUUGGAAAACAUUUGGCAAAACGGUUUCACCAUAUUUCUCAUGGAUAGAUUGAAGAAGGAAAUAUCCAUAAUGCCCUUAUAUCUUUUCUUCUUAUUUCUUUUCCUUCUUAUUUUUUAAUCCUUUCUCUCUAUUUUCUUUUCUUUCCAUCUUCUCUUUCCUUCUUAUUCUCUUCUUCCUUCGUUUCCACACGGCUUCCGUCCCCCAGCCGGCCGCGUGGCCUCCCGCCGCUUGGCCUCCGACGUAGCGGCUCUCGUGCCGCCGGCCGCGCCCAUCACUGCGCGAGGAGCAGAAUGCACGAAGAGGCUGCGAGGGCAAAGAUGGCAGCGGGAUGCGGGCGUGCGUCCGGGCGGAGCCACGAUUUCUAGCUCCAGCUCGUCCAAUCCGCUCCACUAAGCGGGAUUUUAGAAGCUUCAAGGUUGAAGCUGCUAGAGAAUACACCAUUUGGAAGGACUCUUGUGAAGCCUGUUUUAGAGCUCCUCAGGAAGUCCUGCCAAAGGGGCUAUGCUUCUUAUUUGAAGCCCAGUUAACACGCUCCAGCUGAUUCGAAUGGUGCAGUGAUAUCCGAACAUGUAUGGGGAAAAAUUGCUGGAACGACGAUCAAGUUAGCGCAUGAAAUGUUUCCAAUUUUAAAUGGGGAUUCAACUGAUCUUUUGAAAUCAACGAUAUUCCAAACGUACGUCCUCAGACGACAAACCUGGACUUCACCUAUCUUAUCCGGAUAGGGCCCACUUGGCAGUCUCUGAAAAAUCCCCAAGGCUGCAGAACCCUGAACGGCUGCAUCGCUCGCGUCGCGCACCCCCACAGCGGCUCAUCGACGAGGCAGCGAUGGUGGGGCGAAAGCCGAUGCGCCGCCGCAGAACUGAUCGGCAGCCUCCUCCUCCUCCGCCGCCGCAGUCCUUCGGUGCCACGGCUCGCCCGACCUCCCCACGUUCGUCCGCCUCCGCCGCCGCGGUCGCCGCCGACCUGGACGAGCUGCUGCUCACGGCGCCGCCGCCGUCGGCGUCGGAGCCCCGGAGCUUCUCGUACGCGGUGAAGCAGCAGUGCUGGGAGAAGGCGGAGCGAGUGCCGGGGCGCGACCCGGAGAGGUGGCGCCGCGACGCGCUCGGCAACAUCGUCUUCCGCAAGCUCGUCGGCUGCCCCGGCUGCCUCUGCCACGACUACGACCACAUCGUCCCCUACUCCAAGGUCUCAGAUUACAACUGCACAACUAGUUCCUGAAACGCUGUUUUGCUGUUGUUUUUGUGCAUGUCCGUGCGAAAAGCCUGGGAAUCCAACAGCUCCUGGACAGCAAUAAGUCUCAGCUUCAAAUAUUUUUAGUUCUUCUAGAUCGUAUAUGCGGUUUUGUGGUGACGUUGUAUCAGCAGAGCACUGACCCUGUAAAAUUUACAGGGCGGGAAGAGCACAUUGGAGAAUUGCCAGGUUUUGCAGGUACGCCAUAUCUAUUCUGCGGCGCAAUUGAGAAUUACUUGAACAGACAAAUCACACGCACAAAAAAAAAA
rnacentral:lncRNA from 1 species